GUCCUCUGAGUUAGUUUAUGUUCAUGUCAGGGAGCUUUUUGCUAACUAGUCAUGGAGUUUACGACCUUAGAAUGACCGAAAGGACUUGGUUUUGAUCAUACACACGUCACUUGUGGCUAAGGCAAAAGCCUACACGCCACUUGCAAGCUUCACAGCUUCGCACAUGCCAAUUCUGCGAAAAACAGCAAUCUGUCCCUUCUGGACAGUCAACUUCGUUUGAGCUUUGUGAACAGCUCCAGACGAACCAGACAGUGAGCUUUAUAUCAUUAGAAAGCUCUACGAGUCUAGUUUUCAGAAAAUUUUUCGGUUCAUCCAUAUCUAUUUUAACGAAGAAGUUAUGGCUGUUUUAGUGCGCAAAGGUCAUUCUGGGCGGAAAUUUUUAUGCACUCUCGAGAUUGCAGCUUUUUGUAGCUUCGUUCAAUCCUUCUAAAUGGUUCAAGUGGAACUAUUUACUCUCUUAUCUACUCCAUUUUGUAGAUCUGUCUCAUCGAGACAUUGAGUGCUUCGCAGAUAGUGGAACUAUCCACAACAUUCUAAGGAACUGACAACUAUCUUUGGAUUUUGUGCCUUUGUAAAUCUUCUGUGACUAUAAUGAUUGAAUCAUACCGAUCAUUCAAAGACGCGGUUUAGCUUGAAUCUUGAUGCCUCAUGGCACCAUGAUUAAUGUCACAGAUACCCUCUAUACAUUGAGAGGCAAUCAAACCAUAUUGAGCUUUAAAGACAUUCCUGCUAAUAGUUUUCAUUUGAAAACACAUUGUGAGAAUGAACAAGAAUUCUUUUGUGUAUACCUUCUCAUGAAUGCGGACUGAAGCGCAUCUUGGAGAAAUUCAUGAGUCAAUCUAGUGGACUGUAUGUCACUAUGAUUCGAAUAUCGAAUCCCAUGUUGUCGCCAAACAUGAUAUUUGGGACAUUGACUCAUAUAGGCUUUGGUUUGACCAAAUUGGUCAACCUGGAAGAGAUAAUGGUCCAAAUUUUGAGAAAUUCUCAUGGACAUCCAUUCUUCCGCUCAAAACGAAGACAUUCGAGAUCUAGCAUCACCAUGAAGCAUGGUGGUGACCCGGGGGACAUUGACGUCACCCGAACACGACUCCAACUUCCUGGAGGUCGUACGGUCAAUUCCUCAAGCAAUUGAGGUGCACCGGCCUUUCCUCGAUGUCGCAUUGGCCCUCUGCAAUGCUCAUUACUCGUUUUGAAAGCCUAUUGUUUAGCUAAAUUAGGAGUGAGACCCUCCUACGCUAAAUAACACAAAAGUGAACAUUCUAUUCUUACAUAAAAUUAUGUAGAUAGAUACAACCAACUUGCGGACACCUUUUAUGACACGACCCACCCCGAAUUUCACCCUGAAACCCGGAGUAAGUCGUGCGGGGACCACCUCCAAAGAAAAUUUACCGAAAAGAUUGGUAAAACCUCCCUUGAAGAUGGACAACCCUAACCCGAAAAAUCUCCAAUUCACACACUUACUACAGCACUUCCAAAAAUAUCACACAAUUAUCCAGCUAAAUAAAGGCAAAUAUUAUUCUUCAGCAAUUCUAAACAUAAAGUCAACCGACCGAGCACACCACCGGAAUAAUAUACAAUAAUCCCAAAGUAUUCAGAGCUACUAGACACUAGCGGAAGCAAGAAAACACUAGUAGGUUAAAUAGGUAACCUACUGAUGAAAACUGGCGGAAAAGCGGGUAACUAUGCCUCGUCUCCUACUAGGUCCAACCUGAACUUUGCAGACUGGGCAAUUUAAAACGAAGAGCCCAGGGGAAAACAUGUGGAAACAGUUAGAGUGAGUGGACAAAACAAAAUAAAUUAAAUAAAAAUAUUUCUUUAUGCUUCCCCAAUUUAAUUUCCAAAUAAAAUAAUACUGCAUGCAAUCGCUCAAAAGCGCUUAACUCAAAAACUGGCAACUUCACGACCAGCACCGGCUAGUCUCCAAAACUUAAUAAAAUACAGCCUCUCAGGCUAAAUUAUAUAUAAACAUAUAUAAGUAUAUGUAUUUACACUCGUCAGACUCCUUGUAUGAAUUCUAAGAACAAAUUAGAAAAAUAGAAAUUCAUACAAGGCUACUACGUUUGCGUCUAACGCUCACGUCACACCAUAAUGGAAUUGUACCUCAGUAUGACGGAAAAGGCACGAGUGUAUAUACGUGUGGACUCCCUAUAUGAAAACCUAAAUAAACCAAAUAAAAAAAUAGUUUUCAUAUAGGGCUACUACGCUUGUGUCUAACACUCACGUCACACCAUAAUGGUAUUUUACCUCAUUAUGGCGGAUCAGCACGUAUGGCUAGCUAGCAUUUACAUAUACAUACUAUCAUCAUAAACAUCCAAUAACAUAUCCACCGAAAUCUCAUUUUCGGGAUCNNNNNNNNNNNNNNNNNNNNUAUAUACGUGUGGACUCCCUAUAUGAAAACCUAAAUAAACCAAAUAAAAAAAAAUAAGUUUUCUAUAUAGGGCUACUACGCUUGUGUCUAACACUCACGUCACACCAUAAUGGUAUUUUACCUCAUUAUGGCGGAUCAGCACGUAUGGCUAGCUAGCAUUUACAUAUACAUACUAUCAUCAUAAACAUCCAAUAAACAUAUCCACCGAAAAUCUCAUUUUCGGGAUCUCUCCAAAGGAGGAAAUUGCCAAAUAUCCGAGAAAUAAAUAAAUCUCAGGAAAAGAAUUAAAUGAUCAACAGAUAAUUCAUCGCAUACUUUUCAAUUAAAAUAAAGGUCCACUCACAAAUUAGGCCUAAGCCUGAUGACGCUCCGAGGCUUCCUCUGCUCGGGCCUCCUCUCGUCCUGUUCCAAAUAUAUAAUUAAUUCCCACCAAAAAACCAAUAUUUAAACAAAAUGGGCAAAAUUAAACGUGAGCCUCCCACACACUCAUCGUUGCCCAAAUUCGCCAUUCUUAACUCAAUACAGCUCAAACUUCGCCGAACAUACCGGCAGCCGUAAAAACAACUUUCCACAGAAUACGACUUAAAUCCUACGGCCGGAUUCUACAUUAAUUAACCGCCAAAAUACCAAACUUCGAAAAUUCACAAAUCUAUCUAAAACUCAUCCAAAAAUUCCAUAACUCACUUCAAUAAACUCCCCUUAAUAUUCCACAUUUAAAAACAUAAAAAAUCUCCCAACCGGCGGCGGCCGGAGGCCAAUUUUGGCGACCUCUAAAACCUAUGAAAUUUUGACAGAAUAAUCUUCUCAUCAUGCUCUACAACUUUCCUGACCAGCACAAACCCAAAAUCCAAGCCUAACUAGGGCAAUCGAACACAAACACCUAAAAGCCCUAUAAAUUUCAACUCCACAUUUCUCCUUACCUAGCUCAAGAGAGGGAGAGUCCUUUUAGGGCAAGGCUGCUGGGUUGGAGGGCUACAAAACCGUACCAAGCUUGCCCGGAUUGGUGGCCGGAGGAGGGAGUUCCGGCGAAAAGCUUCCCGACGUUUCCGGCGGGUUUUCUCCUCUUCCGGCGGGUUAGAGGCUCGGGGGCUAGGCCGGGGAGGGAGAGGAGGAGAUGGGGGUCCGAACUGGGGUGGAGCGGCGGCCGAUGGCUGGCCGGACGGCGGCAGCUGGUGGCUGGGAGCUUCCGGUGGAGAGAGAGCACGGGAGGGAGAAGGAAGAGAAAAGAGAGAAGAAGAGAAAGGGAGGAAAUGGGUUGGGCCUCCCAACCGGUCCAACCUUAUAUCAACCCAACUCAAAAAAUAAAACACCCCGAAAAAUAAUACCCGAAUAAAAUUACCUUUUACUAGCUAAAAUUUACCAUUUUUACCGUCGUCAUAUUUUCCUCUUAUGAAUAAUCCUCCGCACAUAAUCAUCCCCGAAACCCCUCUAGGGACCAAUUAAACUAUUAACUCAAUGACGGAGACGGUAAAAUUCUGAUUAUAAACCAGCUAGUAAAUAAGGUAAAAAAUAUAAGAGUCGGGAUGUGACAAUUCUUUUCGGUAAAUUUUCCUUGGAGGUGGUCCCCGCACGACUUACUCCGGGUUUCAGGGUGAAAUUCGGGGUGGGUCGUGUCAUUUUAUGCUUUAUGGUGUUGGUUGAAGUGUUAGCACACUGGUCACGUGUUAGCACACUGGUCACGUGUUACACUAUUAUCUGCUGCUUAUGCUGCAUAUACUUCUACGGGCUAACUACCCAUUAUUUAAAGAAGUUUAUUGGGAUAUAAGUUGAAGUGUCAUGUACCCCAUGUUCACACGCAAUACGGUCUCACCGAGGCUACGACCAAGCAACUUUAGCUUGUCGCUCGAAUAUUAUUGAUGCGCACCAACCUUUCUAUUGCGUCUUAGGGCUAUGCAAUAUUUGCAUGCAGCUUUACUAUUCGUCUACAAUCCACCAUCAUUGAAUAUUUUUGUACUACAGCUCGUGACUGUGUACCAGGAUUGCAAUCCUUGAGCUCAAACAAGAUUGAAACGGAUCUCCAAUCCUUGAGCUCAACUAGAUGUUUAUUCUAAGUGCCAAAUCGCACUGCCACUGCGCACAAUGAUGGGUCAUUUAAGAUGAAUAAGUAUUUAGGUUGGAUGUAAACCUCCACCUAUAAAUCCGCAUAUGUAGAAACCUUGUCAGGCAAUCUCAUUCACCGCUAAAUUGCGGAUUGUCACUUUGAUGAGACAAUAUUCCCGCCGUUAGGAGGAGAUAAGAACACAAGUGUUCAAGUGGAAAGACGUGAAUUGUCGUGGUUUGUCCCCACUAAGUCUCAUCUUGAUCCCAAAUGCUUAAAGUGUUAAAGUGACGAGAUCACAUGCUGCAAAUAUGUCUGCAAGGAUUGAUGUCCCAUCAAGAGGACAUGACGCGACCAAAAGGUGUUGGUCUUGACGCCAUCACCAUGGAUGGUGAUAUAGUGACGCCAUAUAAUGGCAAAAUUAGUGUCACAAGGCCGUGUGGCUCCCCAAAAGGAGGGAGGCCCUUAGGUUCGAUAUUUUCUCGCACUAGGAAGAAAGCGAGCUUGGCACAACCUGAUCCAUUGAUCAGUGAUACUCAUAUCUGUCUCAUGAAGUCUGAAUUGUGAUUAUCGUUGGGGGACGCCUCAAUGUCAAAUCCAAUCCAUAUAGAGAUCUCUACAAAGUAUUACACUAGUGUACAUGAGGACGUGGGAUAAUGAGUCUACUAUCGAACCACCUUUCGUUGAUGGAUAUCAACUUAGUUGAUUGGCCUAAUGGAAAGAUGUGAUCCAGCAUUAACAAAGAGAUAGGUCCUUGGGCAGGUGAUGCCGACACCGCAAGCUAAACCCUAUCAACUAUGCCUUUGUUAGAUAGCGUAGUGAGAAAAAGAGCUUAGACUCAUCUUAUGGCGUAAGGUCUCUCACUAACACGCACUGGGAUCGACUACGAUGAGAUAUGCUCUCGUAAUGGAUGUCAUUGAACUCCACUACUUUGUCAGUUUGGUAGUUUCCGAAUAACUGAACAAGCAGCCUAUGAAUGUGGUCAUAAUAACAUCUCUACGGGAUCAGAGAUAUGCAUGAAGGUCUUGAAUAGACUUCAUUCAUCCAAAUCAAGUGGCUUCAGACCACAGGUUCAUGCGUUUACUAAAUGUAUUGAAACGCACAUGGACUCUACUUGAUUUGGAAGGGAUAUGGUGAAUUAUGCCUUUGCGUGUUCAUUCCGGAUUUACAUGGACUCUUGAUGGAUCAAGAGAUGCCAAUAUGUAUCAACAUCUGAAGAAAAAGAUCUUGAGAAGACACAGUCUCGAUAAGACACUCGAUGACUGUAUUGAUGAUGAUUUUCCAUCAAUCGGCUUAGGCACUUUAUAACUAAUGAGGCCUACAUAUACUUCCAUGAUUAGUCAAGGUCUUACUCUAAAGAGAGAUCCGUUGUUUUGUCUAAAGCAAUAUGACAAAUAUAUGUUAAGAGAUGGAGUUCACAUCUAAGUACAAUUAGACGCAUCAAUGUACUCAACACAAUACGAAAGACUUGACAUCUCAUUCGCUAUGAAAAGUUGUAAAGCUAAGUGUAGCUAUGCGCCCACGCAAUGCCAAUGUAAUGGCAGUAACUCCUUUUUCAAUACUUAAUGGUAUGAAAGGUUGAGGCUUAUUCUAUCCCUACAUAAGAAAGACACAUCAAUAGCGAAAUCAGAAUCUGCCAAGUUUCGUAGGUCAAGCUCCACGGGACUUACAGGAAACCUCACUCACUGGAAUAUGGUAAAAUUGGUACCAUUGGAAAGGUCUAUGUGUCUACUUUCUAGGAACACCAACCAUUUGAUCAUACCUAUCAUAUUGAGUGAGUUAUGGCCGUUUUCGUAAAGUAGGACGAAUCUGUCCGAGAAUCUGAUUUUGGCAAAACAGUCAACUUCGACCGGACAUUUUGAAUAGCUCCUGACGAACCAGAAUGUGUGUAAUAUAUGGUUGGAAAGCAAAAUGUGUCUAGUUUCCAAAACCAUUUACGGUUCGUUCAUAUGUAUUUCCUAGAGGAAGUUAUGACUGUUCUAGUAACUGAAGGUCAUGCUGCGCGGAAAUCUGAUUUCCUGCACGAACUUAUGUCUUGAGUUCACAAGCGGCCUUCUCCUCAAGAUCUAAGUGUAAAAGAUCAUUUGAGGACAAUACGGCAUGAUUUAGUUAAUCAUUGCCUAAUGCCACAUUUGAAAACAUGUUAAAGAGNNNNNNNNNNNNNNNNNNNNNNNNNNNNNNNNNNNNNNNNNNNCGUUGUACUCUUUUCUUCCUACGAUCAAGGUUCAGUUUUCUCCCACAGGGUUUUGUGACUUGACGAGGUUUUGACGAGGCAACAGAUCAGCACUAUCGGCAUAUCAGCGCGCAGCACAAGGGGGAGUGUUCUAGGAUAUUCUGUAUCUUUCUAGAUAUUCUUUAUGUGUGCCUUGGCCUUAUGCCAAUAGGAUAUGUAAUUAGACUAGAUCUAUGUAUUCAUAUCCUUACCAUAUUGGUAUUGUGUAAUUCCCUAUAUAAAGAGCUCCUAUCAAUGAAUAAGAUGAUGAUUCUCUUGUUAUCUCUCAUUCUCUACACUUUAUACUUCAUCACAAGGAUAUAUUUUCUGUUAAAUAGUUUGCGUUGAUCAGAUUUUUAUCAAAAGUCUGGUACUGUUUGGUUCAGUGGCAUAAGUCUCUCUUUGUAAAUGAGAGGUCGUAAGUUCGACUCACAAUAGACUCGUUAUAGCAUAGUAGUUGUUUAUUUGAUGUAAAAAAUAAUAAUUCAUCAAAGGGAUAUAUAUCUAGUUGUGUUCUUUUCUUUGAUAAAUGAGGUCAUUUUUUUAUAUAGUUUAGCAAACAAUACAAUUACGAUACAUCUAUAAAGGGUCGUUAAAAAAAGUGGUUACAUGGAGCACAAGUAAAUGAUAAUAUGCUCUCAUGUGUUGACAUUAUUUCAAAUGAACUUAUUUCACAUACCAUGUGUUUAAAAAACAUUGUUGGUGUCUUGACAAAAUUUCCCAAUAUCCUAUUUCAUAGCAGUAUUCUCCUGACCAGCGUCGGCGAGUGUUGUGACAGGAACCUCCGCUUCGUUGUCUGACAUCGAUCCAGGCUCGACCAGGCUUUGAUGCUACCUAACGCAACGGGAAAUACGGGGGGCUAACAAGCGUUAAACCCUAGAAACAAUGGAGAGCUUACAAGCGUAAACUCAUAAAUAGAACUCUGGAAUUUACCAGAAAAUUAUAGAAAAUCUCUUAAGUUUGAUUGAUAACAAUAUGAUUGAUGAAUUGAAUCUAUCCACUUCUGAAAGCCAAUCAAGAAACUCUUCAACUUGUAAAUUUCCAUAGAAGAAAGAUAUGUCUGCUUGUUAUUAGCAUUUAAGGACAUGCCAAGUAAGGAUUUUUUUUCUUUAGGUUUUCUCCGAACUUUUCUUGUCUUUGCAACAUAACAACUUUUUGCCUCAACAUUUCACUUCUCGACCAUGUCUGAAGAGGUUUCAUCUCGUUUUGUCGCUGCCUUAGAUAUCAAGGACAAUGGGAAAGUGGCGUUUGGCGCCACAAGUGCUCAUGUUAUCUCACCACAUUCAUACAUGGUGGUAACGUCACUGACUGUGUAAAAACAAAAGCAUGAAGCCCAUGGCUAUGAUUGAGACGUUUGCCGCAGUUUGCAUAACAGCCUUCAUAUGAGGGUUCAUGGGAUUAGUACAUUCUUUAUUUCACCGAGGCCAAGGUUCGUCGACAUGUCUCGAAGUGAGGGUCAUGGUUCUUUGGUUGUUCUAUGUUUGUUGUGGCUGAGUGUGAUGGUCUAAGUGAUGCUUCAUGUGUCUCGAUCGUCACUUUUCCAGUGUGGGUGGAGGUUUUUGGACUGCCGCUGGCUUGCAGACCUUGUGGAAUUGGUAGGUGUUACGCCUGGAAAAGUAGAGCAGCUUUAUAAGGUUGAAAUCGGUCGAGGAACGAGAGCUAGGGUUCAUCUCACUCAUCAUAUUUCUGAUCAGGUAAAGCAUGCCCACCCUCCUUUGGCCUUCAAGUUUGGUACUAUGCUUCUCACUUUCAAAUACAAGAAGACGUUCAAGUUUUCCAAGACUUGUGGUUUUUGGAGCAUAUUGUUCUGUGGUGUAAGGGACCUCCGGGUCAGGUGAUUAGAGAGGAGGUUGAUACGGUGACGUUUGUGGUUAGUUUGGGUGUAGGAGCUACAAACCCUAAACCGAACAGUAUAAAACCCUAGUUUCUGGGGACUUAAUUCCGGAUAGGGGUGUUCCUAGAUUGCAAGGUGUUGGUAGUCCUUUUUAGAUGGAGGGGCUAAUCCAUUUCAAAAUGGGUCGACUUUCACUUUUCCCCUUCUAGGUGUCCCGGCGUCAGACUCGACUUCACAGUUGGCUAAGUUUCGAUCUCUAAGGAUGCAGCUGCCCCUAGAGAAGUGGCUAUGGUAGAGGCAAUUUCCAUGUCCAAACUUAAGGGUUUUUUUUUUUUUUUUUUUUUUUUUUAUUUUUUUUUUUUUUGAAUACAAGGGCUAGAUUGAUAGCUCUUACGCCAUAACCAUUAACAAAACCUCAGAAUACAAAAGGAGAGGGGGACAUUGUGCCUAAAUCCUAUACUGUAAGAACACCCUAAAAUAAUAUUAUGCAUAUCUACAAAAUCUAUGCAUUCUAACAAAACCUCAGAAUACAAAAGGGGAGGGGGACAUUGUGCCUAAACCCCAUAUUGUAAGAACACCCUAAAAUAAUAUUAGGCAUGUCUACAAAAUCUAUGCAUUCUAACAAGCAUCAUUUAACAAAGAGUGCAUCAUUAGCUACUCCAUUUGCUUUAUAAUUUUAACAACAUACCGGAAAACUAUUACUCAUACAGAGCUAUAAGUUACUAUAUAUGUCUAUCAGUUUUCCGGCUAUGAUGCCACUGGAAAUUACCAGUGACCCUAAGUUUCAUCUUGCCACUUAAAGACUACGACCAUUUGAAAAAGGAAGAAACUCGCCACCUCAUUAGAGCAAACAUGGUUCGAUGCGUGCACUUACUAGGACAUAGCCCACCAGUAUCCAGUAUCACUGAAAAACAAUAAGACAAAAACCAAAAAAUAAACCUAGUAGGGCAUAGCACGUCCUCUGUCACCCAUAAGAAAAUGGUGACUUAUUUCAACAAUUAACCAAAGUAAAACUAAGAAGGUAAAAAACUUAAUUAAAAUAAUAGUAAAUACCCAAGUUCGGCAUGUAAGCCAAAUCCAGGCCCAGGCCCAAAUACCUCAUAGCCCAAGCCAAGAGCAAACAUUGUUAGCGUGCUCUUGCCGCCGUCUCGCAGAUGUAGGCCACGACGUUCAGUUACGAGGACAUACUCGUCAUUCCGGCCAAGCACCGCUUGUCUCUUCUUUCAUCCGUCGUCUCCAUCCCGCCAGCGAGCAUCAACAUGGUAUUUGUUAUGGUCUUUGAUUGUUUUAGUAACGUGUUCGUGGUGGUGUUUUGGUACAGGAGGUGCUACCUCUAGAGCUUAAUUUCAUGGAAAAUGGUCCUUCCACAUGAAGAUGACAUGUUGAAAGUGUCACAUGCAAAGAAAUACAAGGCGGCAAGGCCUUUAGGGUUCAAGAACAAGCAAAAGAUGGAGGAUAUUCAUCCAUGGAAGCUUGAUGUCACUGCCUUGGUUCCUAAUAAAAAGCAAAGAGGAGCUUAGGGGUGCGUAUGACGCAAUUGCCUAUUUUCAACACCCUAGGAUACAAUUUAGGGUUUGUGGAGGUUGGUUGUGUUUUUGUGGAUUAUUUUAGAAAACUUUUUACUACCGAUGGUUCUGAUAUGAAUAAAGGUAUUUUAAGUGAAGUGGAGGGGAGAGUAUCGCUGGAACAAGCAGAAAAACUGUCUAGACCCUACACUAGAGGGGAGCUUGAAGUGACAUUGAAGGAGAUGGGUCCAACAAAAGCUCCAGGGUCGGAUGGAAUGCCUCCGAUUUUUUAUCAAAAUUACUGGCUUACUGUUGGUGAUGAGGUUGUUGGGCGUUGCUUGAAUUUUCUGAAUGGUCAAGGGACGGUACGAGAUUUAAACCAUACUUUGAUUGCCUUGAUUCCAAAAGUGCCAAGCCAGAAGAGGUAACUGAGUAUCGACCCAUAAGCUUAUGCAAUGUGGUUUAUAAGUUAAUCUCAAAAGUCCUAGCAAACAGAAUUAAGCAUGUGUUAUCUGGAGCGAUUUCGGUCUCCCAAAGUGCUUUUGUCCUAGGAAGGUUAAUUCAUGACAAUGUGAUUGCUGCCUUCAAAACAAUUCACAACUUGAAGAAAAGGGGAAAAAAAAAGUAGACAAAAGGUUGCUGUCAAACUUGAUAUGGCAAAGGCAUAUGAUCGUGUGGAAUGGGUGUUUUUGAAAAGGAUGAUGUCGGCUAUGGGGUUUCCACAGAGGUUCUGCUAAUUGGUAAUGGAAUGUGUGAGAUCGGUUUCUUACUCUAUACUGAUCCAAGACAAGCCUUUUGGUCGUAUUGUUCCUUCUAGGGGGCUUCGACAAGGUGAUCCCAUCUCUCCAUAUUUGUUUCUUUUGGUGGCUGAAGGUUUUUCUUCUAGCUCUUUUGAGGUGUGCAGAGAAGUCGAAAUACAUUCAUGGGGUGACUAUUGCACGGGGAGCACCAUCAGUUUCUCAUCUUUUCUUCGCAGAUGACAGUCUUCUGUUUUGUGAUGCAUCAAUCCGCGAGUGCCAAAAAUUGAAGGAGGUUUUUGGGGCAUAUGAAAGAGCCUCAGGACAGAAAAUGAGUGUUGAGAAGUCAGUUAUGUGCUUCAGUCUUAGAACUCUAGAAUUUAUUAAAGAAGCUUGUAGUGUGGCUCUAGAUAUGAACAUAGUUCCAUGUCAUGAACGUUACCUUGGGUUGCCAACAAUGACGGGGAAGAGUAAAAAGAAACUGUUCAAGGUUUGGUUGAUAGGGUUUGGAAGAGAGUUCAGGGAUGGGAAGGAAAGUUACUUUCAAAGGGGGGUAAUGAGGUGCUUAUAAAGGCGGUUGCUCAGAUUAUACCUACAAACAUGAUGAGUGUCUUUCAACUUCCUGUGGGCGUAUGUGAGGAGAUUAGCAGGCACCUAGCCAAAUUUUGGUGGGGGAAACCUGGUGGGAAAUGUAUUCAUUGGAGGAAGUGGGAUGCUCUUUGUGUCCCAAAGAGCCAAGGAGGAUUGGGUUUUAGGGAGUUUCAAAAUUUCAUUAAAACAUUAGUUGCUAAAAUUGGUUGGAGGUUGAUAUGUGACGAGUCUUCUUUGGUGAGUAGAAUGCUCAAAGAGAGAUAUUUUUGCAAUAAGUCAUUCCUUGAAGCUGAAACCAGGAAAAAUCCUUCAAGUAUCUAGAGGGCAGUGAUUUGGGGAAAGGAGUUGUUGUUAAAAGGGCUGAGAUAGCGGGUGAGUGAUGGCAGUUGCAUUCGGGUUUUUCAGGACCCUUGGGUUCUAGGGAUUCCAAAAUUCAAAGUCACAUGGAAGAGUGGACUUGAUUGGAAUUUGACUGUAGCUGAGCUUAUUACUUCUUCUGGGGGCUGGAAUAUAGAGCGGUUAGACCAAUUUGGUACUCUUCCAAAAGUUAAUGCUAUAUUAUCAAUACCUCUAGCUCAUACUGGCAGUAGAGAUAAGAUGAUAUGGAACCACAAUCGUAAUGGAAAAUUCUUGAUUAGAAGUGCUUAUUGGUUGGCAAUGAAGGAGAGUCAUCAACUGCCCCAAAAUGUUUCAGAUCAUUAGAAACACUUGUGGAAGCUAAAGGUGCCAUCUAAAAUCAGUCACUUCUUAUGGAAAUGUUUGAAAGGGUUUGUGCCAUGUAUGUCAGCAUUAUAUCAGCCAUAUAUGGUAGAUUCUCCUAUGUGUCUGAGGUGCCAACUAUCUCAAGAAACGCCCUUGCACGCGACAUUCUUGUGUCCAUUGAAUGUAGCAGUGUUGGAGAAGGUGAGCUUUUUCCCAAAGUUGGAUCCGGGUCUAGUAGUGCCAUUUGCUGAGUUUUUUGAUCAUGCUCUUUCUAUUUUAACCUUGGAUGAAAUGAAACUGCUGGUAAUUCUAUUACGGGGUAAUUGGAAUGAACGAAACUUGUUUACCCAUGGUGAGAAUCCUAGGCCCCUGGAGGUGCUUUAUGAGCAAGGUGUGUUACUAUGGAAAAGUUUAUUAGAGGUGCAAUCAAAGAAAAAUACACACAAUGGUAGCAACAAUAGUUCCAACAGUGGGAGGUGGCAUCCACCGAAUCCAGGUACAUUUAAAUUAAACUGUGAUGCAUCUGUUAUUGAUGAUGGAAAUUGUGUUGGUGUUGGGGCUGUGCUAAGGAACAAUUCUGGUGAGGUGGUGGUGGUGGUGGGAGAGAGAGUUGUGGGUAGGCUUAGGCUUGUGCUGCUAAAUUGUUUACGUUGAUUAAAGGCCUGGAGAUGGUGAUUCAAGGAGGAUGGCCUUUGGAGAUGGUUUAAACGGAUUGCCUUGAACCUAUGAGGUUAGUAAAUGGGAGGCUGAUUGUUUUCCUGAAGAAGGUGUGUUGGUUGAAAAGAUUAGAAUGCUAUUAGCUUCUAUCAAUGUUGGUGAGAUUCAGUAUGUUUCUAGAAAAGCUAAUAUGGUAGCUGAUUCUAUUUCAAAGUUUGUAGCCUGAUUGCAGGGGCGUUAUUCAUGGUUAGAGGUUGGGCCUGAUUGACUCAUGGAUAUCAUUGGUAAUGACAGACCGGUGACUUGUUCGAGUAGGAGAGAUGAGAGUGGGGAAGUUGCUUCCACCACCGAUAAUUCCUAAGCGUUGUAAUUCUAUUUUUUUUGUUUGAAUAAAAUUUUGAUGUUUUCUCCUCAAAAAAAGAUACAAUUUUUGUUUUGAAACAAAAGUGACACUUGAGAUCUGUUUUGGUUAUUAAGUGGGAUAAAACCUUCAGAGAGAUAUUAACUUUUUUUUAUCCUUUUAAAAUAAGUGAUGUGACUAAUUGCUACAUAAGUACAUGUGUGAAAAAUAGAUAAUAAAAAGAGGAGAAGUAGACACAAAAUAUUAGAAGGGCUAGAGAUGAUGAAGGAGAAAAGAUUGUUCAAAUGCAGUACGGCUUAUCAAAUAAGCCUUAUAUUUGCAUAAGGUAUUUUAGUAGAGAAGAUUCAGACUCUUCUGGAAGAGCUUGAUAUUAUAUCAAGCAUACGACGCUAAAUAACAUUAAAACUGCUCGUGCAAUUGCAGAGGAGUAGUUCUUGUAUCCCUAGCAUGUGGGGAGAUAAGUGAGGCUACAUCGGGUCAUUCUCCAUUUAUGUCAUCUUUGAUUUUAUUUGAUACAAGUUCCCUUGAUUCUCAAAAAAGCAAAGAAAACAAAAAAACCCAAAUUAUGUCUCAAAAUUACUGCGUAAGAAGUUUGGUGAGGAAUAUUGAAGUCACAUCUAAUACAUGUGAAAGAUCCACAUCAAGAUUUGCCAAAAAAUAAAAACACAAAAGAAAGAGUUCUUAAGAAAAUAAAAUAGACUAUGGAAAUAAGAAAAGGCACCGGACACAUGGGGACAUUCUUGCCAUAUACAAGUUUGAUCCUUUCAAAUAAUUGUGGGAUAAGCUACAAAAUUCAGCAUCUAUUCUAUGUUGAAUUAGGGGUCACCGUGUCUCUUGUUUAGUAGUAAUUUAACCAUGUCAUAAUUACAAGGGAAAAAGACCAUUUGCACAAAAUAGAAAAGGUCAAACUCCAUUUCAAUGAUAAUCUUUUUUAUUAGCCCAUUUGAAUACAAGGUACUUAUUUUAAGCCCAAAUACACAAAUCUUUAUUAAAAUAUAAUAAAACGAUAUUUUAAAAGACUUUUUUACCCUUAACCUUUAUUUAAAGAGGAAAAAUGAAAAAGAAGAAAUGAAGACUUUCCCGGAAGCACACCGGACACUGGCCGCCGGAUUCCGGUCACCGGUCGUUGGAAAAUUGAUGGUGAUCGGAAAAUCGCCGGAGACGCCGGAGUCUCACUGGAUUUUUUUGAAAAAAAUGUCACCGAAACCCACCGGAUUUUGCCGAAAGCAUACCGGCAAAAAAUGAAGUUUACUACCCCUAGUAAACUUUUACUGGGGGUAGUAAACUUGCAAAACAAUAGCUCCAAUGCCAUAAUUCACAUUGAAAAGGAAAAAAAUCAACUUAGAUGCGAAAAAAUGAAGUUUACUACCCCUAGUAAACUUUUACUGGGGGUAGUAAACUUGCAAAACAGUAGUUCCGAUGUCAUAAUUCACAUUGAAAAUGAGAAAAAAUCAACUUAGAUGCGAAAAAAUGAAGUUUACUACCCCUAGUAAACUUUUACUGGGGGUAGUAAACUUACAAAACAGUAGCUCCAAUGCCAUAAUUCACAUUAAAAAGGAGAAAAAUCAACUUAGAUGGGAAAAAAUAAAGUUUACUGAGGGUAGUAAACUUUUACUUAAAUUUACUACCCCUAGUAAACUUCUACUGAAGAUAGUAAACUUGCAAAACGGUAUCUACAAAUGCCAUAAUACACAUUAAAAUGGAGAAAAAUCAACUUAGAUGCGAAAAAAUAAAAUUUACUGGGGUAGUAAAUUUUUUACUAAAGUUUACUACCCCUAGUAAACUUCUAAUGGGAGCAGUUAACUUGUAAACAGUAUCUCCAAAUGCCAUAAUACACAAUAAAACAAAGGAAAAAUCAACUUAAUUACGAAAAAACAAAAUUUACUGGGGGUAGUAAAUUAGUAAAACCAAUGAACUCAUACUAUUCAAUCCGAAACUAUUCAAACAUACAUCCUUGGUAAGAAACCAAAUGAUUCCAAAUUCAAAUCACAUUUGCGGUUGAAACUUGAGGAUCAUGGAGAUUCAAAUCAUACGAAAAUACAAAUCACAUGAAAAUUGAGGAUUGUUCCUGAGGAGCCUGCCAAUUUGAUCGUCCUGAUCUCCAACGCCGGCAACCGAGGAUUCUGGUUCAGAAUCAAAAGUGAAUCGGAUUUUCCUUCCAAGCAAAUCUGAAUCCACUAAAUCUGUACAUCACGAUGAACAAUUUGACCAUCGGAAGAGGAAACAGAGCUUACCGGGAGGUUUACAUGACGGUCGACGGCGAGCUGGUCGGGUCGGAGGUGCCGUUUCCGAUGGUGUUCACCAACGAGAUGAAUCCAGAGAUUGUUGCAAGCGAGAGGCCCGGUCGUCGAGGAAGAUGGUGACGGUGUAGUGCCGAUGCUCCUUGCUCGAGGGCGUCGGUGGCGACGCUGUCUUCCACCAUGGAAGUUCGUUGAGGUGAGAGAGAGGAAGAGAGAGGAGAGAUGAGAGAUGAGUGAGAAGUGAUCGGGAAAGAAGAUAAGAAAGGAGUGGUGGGAAUAGAACAGUGGGUAUAAAUGUAUUUUCCUUAUGAAUAAUUGAGAUGGGCAUUGGGAAAAGAUUAUCAUUGUUGUGGGUAAUAAAUCUUUAAAAUUAGUAUCAUUAAGGCAUUUACUCUAAUUACAAAUUAAUACUAACAGAUCAAUUCAUUUCAAAAAUAGUUUUUAAGAAACUAUGAAAAAACAAUAUAUCUGACAAUCAAGGAUAAGUUCCUUCACAAUCUUCUUAAAUACGAGCAAGGCUCGUAUAAGCUAGCCAUAUUUUUCCCUAAUCAUACUCAUACUCUGAGGUGACGGUCCGUGUUGAAGGGGAAAGACAAGAUGAUGUCCUCUAGCUAAUGUUUGAAAUGUUGAAUGUCAUGAAACCAUGGUCUUGGGGGCCUUGAGUCAAAAAAAAAAUAUGCUGCAUUUUGCACCUUGCUAAAAUGCUAAUAGUUUAAGGUAAUAGUGAGAACAAGAACAACUCCACCCAAAGUCCACAUAUUCUCUCUUUUUCUCUCUCUAGCUAGCUGCCUCUUGUUUUGUUUCCUUGAUGAAACUCACAUCAUCACAUGGUUGCUUGGUCAAAAUUUGGCAUCUUGGCACUACAUUGUGAUCUCCAUGUGUGCCCAUGUUUAUUUUUGAUUUAUCACAUAAUAAAGAAAAAAUGGACCACUAUUUUGAAUGAGAUAAAGUCAAGUCAUGAGGGAAAUCAUAUUUACAAGCUAAAUUAUUUCUACCACAUUUAUGACUUCAGGAAAUCAAUUUUGAGAUUAUAGUGGAUUAGCUAGAUUUUUUGUUGUUGUUGGGUUGGGGGGGGGGGGGGGGGGGGGGUUAACAGAAUGCUUAGGUUGGUAUGUUUUGAGAAAUUUGGAUUCUUCAAAGAUUAGAGAAAGUUAUUCCCUUAUCUUUUGCUUCAGGAAGUUAUACACAAUUUGCAACAACGAAGGAAUAGAUAAAAGGUAAGAAAAUUUAAUAUAUUAAGGUAUUUGAGCUUGAAGUACUGAUAAUAUAUUAAUGUUUCGUCUUAUAUUUACUUGUAAAUUUGAAUAUUCUCUUACACAAUGCAUUUAAUUGGAAAGAAAAUAUUAUCGUUAUAAGUCGGAACGAUGCUAAAAGAUGACUACAACAUUUUACUAACAAAGUUACCAUUUUACAUUUUACUUGAUAUGGUAGAUGCAUGAAAAUAACUGCGAAACUAUUGGUACCCCUGUUUUCACCAUGAUGUUAAUUGUUAAACCAAUCUGACCAAAACCAUUAACAGAUCACAUGACAUGCAAACAAACCAAAAAAAGGAAGAAAACAAAUCAGUAGGUCUGUAAAUGUCGAAUAAAAUAUCUUUCCUGUUUCAAAAAUUUUCCCUAUUUUUUCACCGCUGAAUAAUUUUGAAUAUCUAUAAUAAUGAUGAUAUUAAACCAUUGCCUUAAAAAAGCUUCAGUCAUAGUUUGAGGUGCUCAGAAAAGGGUACCCAAAACUGUGUUAAAGGGACACCUCUCUCUCUCUCUCUACUAAAGGUCCUCUCUUUAUUUUUCUCUCUAGUAUUUGGUGAAUCAGGUUCCUAAGGUUUUGUAGUUUAGAGAGCACUUGAAAAGUUGGGGGAGGGAGAGAGAUAGACUCAAGAGUGAAACUUCAAACUUGAACUAUAAUUUGCAGUCUUUCUUUAUGUUUAAAUAUCUGCAAAGGGAACCGACAGAAGAGAAGAUGGGAAUUCCUGAUCCAGAAGCGAUCAAGCAGUUUCAGUUGUUAAUGGAGGAAGGUAGAGUUUUGAAAACCCAUUUCAGAUAUGUCAAUGGAUCAUAGUCUUGUAUGAUCUAGAACUUGAUCCAUCUUUCUUUUUUGCUUUGUCUUUUUUGCUUUUUUGGACUUUUACAGUUGAUGAGCCGCUGAAGAACACAUUUGAGGUUAGACCCUGUUUCUGUUUCGAGUUUGCUCGAUCUGGAUCGUUUAAAGUUUUGAACUUUUGCGAUUUGCAGCACUAGAUAAUGAAAUCAUUUACUUUACUCAGUUCAGUUGAAUCACUUACCUUUGCUUCUGUUUUGGAAAUUUUGCUUGCUGUGAAUCUUAAAUCAGUUUUCUGGAUUUGAUCUGGGUCUCUGAUGUGUUGCAUUUUGGGUUUUUCCUCAUAUUUUGGGCUGUUAGAUUGAUUGGCUUGAAGUUCAUCUUCUAUGUUUCGAAUCAAUUUGAUCUUGCUAGUAUUUUCGAAAGAGAAACUUUGUUUCUUGCUUUUAUUGAGGGGCAAGUAUGAAUCCUGGCUGUGAUCGGCAUGUUGGACUUUAUCAAGUGUUAACUUUCUGUUUGUUGAUAAUGUCAACUUAAUUGGUUGAAUUGACGAACCUAUAAGGUUGGUGUAGACUUUACUUGAAUUCAACCUUACUGCAGUACACUGGGUGCAAUGUAUGUGCUGCUACACUUGGCUAUGCAUUAUGAAGUCCCUUGGUUUUGGAAAUAUAGGAGAAUAAUGCUUUCUAUAAUUUAUAUACGUGUGUAUACACAUCUCCAACUAAUCAGCAUCCAAGAGAGAAAAAAGCAAGCAAAAGGGAAAAAUCGUAGAGAUGUCAUACUUUAAGACAAUAUAGUUGGCAGUGGAAUGUUUUUGUCGAGGAUAAAUUCUUAAAAGUUGGUCAUUUGGUUUUUAUAAUUUAUUACCUGUACAAGUGGAAUGUACCUUAAAAUCUAAAUACUGCCUCUUCAUUUCAGAAUGUGCACCAAGGGUAUCCCGAUGAGACAUUUGUGCGGUUUCUUAAAGCGAGGGACUGGAAUGUCGGCAAAGCCCACAAAAUGGUUAGAUUAUUAAGUUUCCUCGAUAAAUGCAACAAGUUUGUCAUCUAUGCUAUGGUUUGCUUUACUAACAAUGCUUAAAUUGUUCCAGUUGGUUGACUGUUUGCAAUGGAGAAUAGACAGUGAAAUUGACAAUAUAUUGGCGGUGAGUUUUUUUUUAUUAGGAAAUUAUUGGGUAAACAUAUAUCUUGUGACCAAUCAUGUGUAACUCAAAUGUUUGUCAGUUUGAUAUUCUCUUGAAUUUUUGUAUUUAGAAUGUUUCAAACAGAGAUAUCUUUCUAUAAAAGUUGGUGAGUUAAAUCUGAAAGGUUUUUAAGAGCACAUAUGUUUUGUUAAUCAUGAAUCUCGAUAUGCCCUCUAAGAAGUCUUUAAGGUUUUGUUAUAACUUUUGUUUGCAGAUCUGAUAUGUUUUGCUAGUUAUUGAAAUGUAGAAGCAUGACAGUUGCACCUGGCGAAAAUCUCUACUUUCAGUUGCAUUCAGAGAGCAUACGUUAUUGUUUGGAUGUUAGGUCCAGUAGCCACUAGCCACAACUGGUUGAACUUUUAGGCAGUGUGGAAAUCUGGACACACAUGUUAGAGAGAAAUCUAUCAUUGGUUAGAGGGGAUAUGACAUCUAGUUUAGACGCGUCUAGUUUAUAGGAAUUAGUUAUACUGUUGAUUAUGCUAUGUCCAUUCUCCUUCUGAAUGUCAUAUUGUGGAUUGAUACUUGACACAGUGUGGAGCAGUAACUCUAUAUAAUGUGGCGACUAAUGUUUUUUUUUGGUAAAUACAGAAACCAAUCAUACCUACUGAUUUGUACAGAGCAGUGCGAGAUUCUCAGCUUUUGGGACUGUCUGGUUACUCAAAAGAGGUAUUUCCUGAUACAAUUUGUCAUGCCUUCUAUUUCUUCCAUUAUACCUUGCCACAUCCACCUUGUCUAAAAAAGGGAUGCCCCAGCAUCUGAAUAUUCUUCUUUUUUCUGCAAUAGUUGAUUAGUUUUGGCUCGCUUGGGGUGCUUAAUGUUUAAUUACAAAAUCACUAUAUUUACAUUGUUGCCCUCUUUAUUUCUUCCAGGGUCUUCCUGUCAUUGCUGUUGGUGUUGGGCUCAGCACAUAUGACAAAGCUUCUGUAAGGAUGAUAUUCUUAUAAUGAUGUAACAUAGUACAUUGGUACACUUGAUAUAUAUACAUGGAUAUACAUAGACACAUAUAUUAAUUGUACUACUGGGCUGAGUCUAUAGAUGUAUAUUUAAAGCACAGCGAGGUCCAUGAUUGUAGGCCUUUAUGUUGUAUUACCAUUCUUUCAGUGGUAUUAACUUGUUUGAUUUCAUUAAUGUAGGUAAAUUACUAUGUUCAGUCGCACAUCCAGAUGAAUGAAUACCGAGAUCGUGUAGUUUUAGUAAGUACUUAAGUUUGUCUAAUCAUCUUGCUGACAUGUAAUUUCAUAUGGAGCCUGAUAUUUUUUUUUCUUUUGUUGAAGCCUUCUGCAACAAAGAAGUAUGGCAAAUAUAUUGGAACUUGUGUGAAAGUUUUGGACAUGACUGGCUUAAGGCUGUCGGCGCUUAAUCAUAUUAAGGUAUCCCUAUCUUGAGCUCCUAUCUUGGUCUGUGGCAAGUUUAUGUGGUCAUAUGAUAUUUAUGUUUUUUGGAUUUCUUUUAGGUUUUUACUCUUCUUCACACCACCCACCCCCCCCCCCCCCCCCCGGUCCAAGCCAAAAAAUUCAAAAAACAACAGAACUGUUGACACAAUUUUUUUUCAGUUGUUUUUCCAAGGGCCCAUAUGAUUUGACACUUUCUUUCUGUUGAUGCAGCUAUUGACUGUUACCUCCACAAUCGAUGACUUAAAUUAUCCAGAGAAGACAGAUACAUACUAUAUUGUCAAUGCCCCAUACAUAUUCUCAGCAUGUUGGAAGGUUUGUCUGCCAGAGAAACUCACACUUUGAAAUAAACACAUAGGAACGAGGAAAUCCUGAUGAUGGGUGGUCUGCCAUCCUUGAGGCAGAAGUAUUAAUGUCUACAUUCUUUACAGGUGGUAAAACCUCUUUUGCAAGAAAGGACAAGGAAGAAAAUCCAGGUUCUCCAAGGUUGUGGGAAAGAUGAGUUACUCAAAGUAAGCAUGUUCGUUUAGUUCAAACAUCACCAUUGGCUCCCUAUUCCACUUGUGGCUUGCAAUUUUGGUGCUGUUUAAUACUUUCGUAAUGGAGUACACCUAUAGGUUACCUUGAGCACUCCAAUGCAAUUUUGUUCUUCUCCAGCUGCAUCUGUUUAUCUGCAUCAUCUUCGAUUCUUCGAUGAUGACAAUCUGACCUGGAAAUGUGUGUGCAGAUCAUGGAUUAUUCGUCCCUCCCACAUUUUUGUAGAAAACAGGGUUCUGGAUCAUCUCGGAAUUCGGAGAAUGGACAUACUAGUAACUGUUUCUCCUUGGACCAUGCUUACCAUCAAGAGCUCUACAAUCUUGUUAAGCAGCAAGCAAUGCGCAUGGAGUGUGUGGCACCAAUCAAACAGGGUUCCUUCCAUGUCAAUUUCCCGGAUCCAAACCCAGAUGACGCAGAGAUUGCGAAAACCAUAGAGGCUGAGUUUCACAAGUAUGGAAACCACAAUGGCCUCACCAAGUCACUAAGUGGCCUAAGAUUAAACGGUUCUUGAAUUCCAUUUUUUAACAUGUACAACGGUUAUAAGCGUCUGUAGCCUACAUGAGUACAUGACACUGGUAACAUUUCUAUGAGACCAGAAUGUUGUCAUAUUAAUUUUGUGUAAUAGUCUAUGCUUGCAUCAACUCGAUGCAGAUUCUUUAUGACAAAAGCUAAUCCGGUGUAGUCGGAAGUACCGCCGAUUUUAAUCCUUCUUCCAUGUGUACUGUGUAGGAAACACUAAUCUGUUAUAGAAGCUAAUUCCCACUAGCGUAUUACAGAUUAUUCAAAAGAAAUAUUUAACUUUACCAUCUAGAUGACUGUUUUAUAGUAUAAACUGAUUUUAGGAGACUAGGACUAUAUGAGUUAUGAGGUAGGGAUGGAGGUAUUGUUUAAUACUAGCUGUCAUAAUGUAAAUUCACAGCUAGUUGAAAAUUGAAAUGGAGAAGAUAACGAACUACUCGUAUGCCAAUUAGAUAACGGGCAGCUAUAGAUACCGUCAAUGAGUCUAAACUAAUCGCAAUAAUCGUCAUUUUCUCCGAGCUACUAAUACUUGACCAUUUUAAAUCUUAAAGGUGUCAUAUCAUCUGGUACAAAUGUAACAUUUAAAUCUUAGGUGUGGCCUUUGUGUUUUGCGUUAUACGUUUCUCUGGUAUAGAAUGCAUGGUUGAUUGUAGUUGUAAUUAAAUUGUGGCCUUUGUGUUUUGUUCCUGUUGCCCCUGAUCUUGCUUAUCUAUGAUUAGCAUUACUUUGAACACCGAAUUGGAAUGUAUCAUGGUAUUCAAAUGGAUUGACAACAGAAAGACAAUUAUUGCAGAGCCCUGAGCCCCUGAUUGAAGCUAAAAAGAAAGUGCAGAUUCCCAAAACUACAGAAAGAUGUUGCUGUUGCUUAUAUCUUUUGUUUGGCCACGAUGAAGAAGAAAUAUUCUUGAAGGCUGAAUUCUUUAUCAAUAUGUAGUGAUUUAUGGAUGUAUGUAUUUAUGGAAUGGAAUGUUGAAAUCUGUACUCAAUGUGCCUCAAGUUGCUAUGAUGUGACUAGUUUCCGGAAUGCUCACAAGGUCAAAAUUUCCUUUUUAAAGGCACUAGUUGUUGGAGAAUUGGAAAUGGUUGUCUCACUGAUCUGUGGAAUGACAAAUGGCUGCCAGAAGCUUCAUAUUCCCUUGCAUCACAUUAUGGUCAACAACCUCCAUUGAUGGUCAAUCAGCUCAUUUAGUUGGAUCCUCCCUCUUGAAACUUAAUUCUGUAGCUCAUAUUUUGUCUGUUUCAGACCAAGUGGUAAUUCAGACAAUUCCCCUCAUUGAUUCUGACAAUGAAGAUAAAUUGAUUUGGCCGCAUCAACAAUCAGGUUCUUAUACAGUCCGGUCAGGGUAUCAUUUAGCUCAGGCAGCUGUGACUUCAACUCCUAAAUUAAAAGCUUCUUCUUCACAUUCUGUUACCUCGGCAGUGUGGAAAUGGAUUUGGAACUUACAAACUCUUCCAAAAAUCAAAAUCUUUAUUUGGAAAGCAGUUAGAAAUUUUGUAGCUACAAAAGGAAACUUGCAUUUUCGGCAUAUAUCUCAGUCUUCUUUAUGUCCUAUUUGCAAUGCUUUUCCUGAAACAAUUGAACAUGUUUUGUUUACUUGCCCUUGGGUAGUUUGUGUUUUGUUUGCUCACCCUUUUGGCAUUCAUGUUCAAUGUUCUUAUAUUACUAUGUUGGAUGCUUGGAUUCAGCAACUUAUUAACUUGCGGAGUUCUGUUGCUGAUAUGAAGUUUGUUUGUACACAUAUUUCUUUCUUGCUAUGGAAUAUUUGGAAGCAUCAAUGUGGAUCCAUUUUCAAUCACUUCUCUCCGGAUCCAGUCUCGGUCUCAAAAUUAGCUUCACAGCAAGCAGAUGAAUUUUUAUCAGUUCAGAACAAGCAUCAUCGGAAGAAUUCUCACUUGGUGCUUGUUCCCUCUGCUUCUGAUAAUUAGAUUCCCCCUUCAGUUGGAACUUUAAAGAUUAAUACUGAUGCUACUUGGAGUUCAGAGUCUUUUAGUUGUGGUUUGGUAGCCCUACUUAGAGGCCUCGUUUGGUUUGCGGAAAGGAAAGUAGUUCCUUCAUCUCUCCCAUGGGAAGGGAAAGUGAACGGGAAUGAAAUUUCAAAAGAAGUUUUCAUUCCGAUGUUUGGUAACGNNNNNNNNNNNNNNNNNNNNNNNNNNNNNNNNNNNNNNNNNNNNNNNNNNNNNNNNNNNNNNNNNNNNNNNNNNNNNNNNNNNNNNNNNNNNNNNNNNNNNNNNNNNNNNNNNNNNNNNNNNNNNNNNNNNNNNNNNNNNNNNNNNNNNNNNNNNNNNNNNNNNNNNNNNNNNNNNNNNNNNNNNNNNNNNNNNNNNNNNNNNNNNNNNNNNNNNNNNNNNNNNNNNNNNNNNNNNNNNNNNNNNNNNNNNNNNNNNNNNNNNNNNNNNNNNNNNNNNNNNNNNNNNNNNNNNNNNNNNAAGUCGACAUCUGUUUAGUCUUUGUGGUUUUAUUUUAAUAGUUUUUCAUCCAAAUAAUCCUUAUGGUUUUAUUUUAAUCUGAAUAGUCCUUAAAGUCAUGAUUUUUUUAUCUAAAUAGUCAUUUCGGCAAUUUCCUUUAUCUAAAUAUGCCAUAAGAACUAUUUGGAUGAAAAAUCAUGACUUUAAAAACUAUUCAGAUUAAAAUAAAACCAUAAAGACUAUUUAGAUGAAAAAUCGUGACUUUAAGGAUUAUUCUGAUUAAAAUAAAACCAUAAGGACUAACCAGAUGUCGACUUUAAACCACAAGGACUAUACAAUAUUUUACCCAAAAUAUAAUCAUAACAGAUUACUGAAGAUGGAACCGAUUUCAAUAAAUAAGAAUACAUUGAUAUAUUCACAAGUACAAAUUAUAUAUCCAAAGAAAGAUGAAAGAUAAUUCCAGUAUUUCCGCCCGUUCUUACACAUAUGCACACAUGUAGCCAACCCUUUUCCCUUCUAUAAUCUCCGCACAAAUCUUUCUCUUCUGCUGGGACCUUACCAUUCGAUCUAGUAUCAAAAGCCAUCUUGUAAACUUUGAGGAAACAAGGGGGACUGAAACUCUAACCUAUAAUAUGGUCAAACACAAUAUUGGAGUUGGGUUCAUCUCAAAUGUUUGUAGCAACUGUAAGCAAUACCAACCGACACAGCAGCACAGACAAUAGCCAAAGCUGCAUAUGUAUCUUCCCGCUCCCAGCUCUCAGACCAUGUAGGCAUAGAGCAAAACUUCCGAGCGGAUGCAGCUUUCCCUCUAUGUGAAAGUGGUUUGCUGCUGCUCUUUUUCUUUUCAGAUGUCGCUUGUGUUGCCACCGCAUUUGAAUCAGGACUACUAAUCCUAUCUAUUAACAUAGUGCUCUGGCAGCACGAAUUACUUCCAUUCUCCUGGCAACAGCCUCCAAAUUCAUCUUGAGAUCUGCAUGGACCAGUAUUCAUCCCCCUUACAUUCGUUUGUGUCAGCUCUGUACUAGUUUUCUCCACAUUGGACUCGCCAUUAAGCUGGAGCCUUAAUUCUUGAGAUUUCUUUUGUUGUUCUUCCGAUAAACCCAUUUGACCCCUGAAAUAACACCAUAUAGUUUGUCACUACGUGUCAAAGAACUUACUAACAAGAAACACAUUUAAACAAGAAAAAAAUUUAGCUACUGCAAUUCAGCUAUGAAUAUCCAUCGGUUCAAGAGACUGUUCCCUUCCAUUUUUCAGUUUUCUACUAACAUUUACAUAGCUAACCAGUUUUGGUUAAGGUGCAAAAGAGGAAGUGAGGAGAACUUUGCCUAAGAUCCAAUUGUUAUCAGUAGUCUGAUUUGGAAACAUGAGAAAACGGCUUCCAUAGCAGCCUAGAAAUUAUGACACACAACUAAAACUGAAAAAAGAAAAAGAGAAAAAGGACUACCUCCACAGCCAGUCUACAAUUUCUCCUCUCCCAAUAUGUUGCUCAAGCAAUUGAGGUACAUCUUCUGGAGCAACAUAUCCAUACCUAUGAGAAAUAGAAUGAUCAGAUAGCUCAUAUAUCAUUAUGGUAAAUAAUAGAACUGGAUUACAGUACGAAGCCACUGGAAAUGAGAACCGCAAAAAGAAGAAAAAGUUAAAUGACUUGGGGCACAAACUUCCGUACCAGUGGCCAGUGACUUCUUUGUUGAUACUUGAUCCAAAUAUAAUAACAUUUCCUGCAUACUUAUGCCCCCCAAUGUGAGAACAUGGCCUAACAGACACUUUACCUUGUAGACCAUGCAAAUCUAUCUCUUCUCUGAAUCUACUGAUCAAGGGAGGUCCACAGACUCCACAACGGCGAUCCCUGGACCCAUGAGAACAUACAAAUACGUAUGAACCCCUCAGAGUUUCAGGAGUUCCAGGCAGCCACUCACCAUCCUUCACAAGAACUUCUUCAACGAAUGUGUCAACAUCAAAAUGUGUCAAUCUCCUGCAAUGUUUCCAACCAGUCGGUCAGUAUUAAUUUUAGGGACAACAGACCUCAAGAGAAUAUUAUCUAAAGAAACCCUCAUGUAGCAAGUAAAUGACCUGUAUCUGAUCAUGUCGGGGAAUAUUAAUACAUCACCAUUUGACGUCUCAGUUCCAUCAUGCCCUUCACAUAUUGUUAAGCGAGUCUACAAGAGGAAAGAGAUGAAUCAAUGGAUGAAAAUGAAUCAGCUGAAAUUAUAUAACCACUUCCGGAAAAGACGUGAAAAGGAAAUAAGCUGAGAGUUAUGACAUGCUGUUUCAAGUAACAUGCAAUGCACGGCAAAUAAACACUCUGGCUAUGAGACUUAUCCCCUACCAGAUUUUCAUAGAUUUAUUCAUAACAAAACAGACUGCAUAUCAAUGUACUGAACAACUACCCUUCUAAUGGACGUAUUUGCAGCAUUUCAUAUCCUUAGAAAGAGAGGUAUACUGAAAUAGUAUCUAGACUAGUAUCCCGACCAUCUAUCCUCAUUAUAAUGAUCUGCAAAGGUGAAUGUUGACUAGGAAACUAAUAUGCCAUCAUCUUACAAGCGUAAACCAUGUUUUUGACGUGACCAAGAACAACUAAAAGGAGAAGAAAAAGAAGAAGAUAACUCAAUGUCAUAGAUCUCUCUUGUUGAAAUAAUUAUACUAAACAUCUUGUACUUGGGUCAAAAUCCCCAACUUUCCAUAAUAUCCUGUAACAUGACACAAAUGCAUAGUUUUACUUAUAUCCGUAGUUAUACUCUUUCAAAACGGCUUUUGAUUCAAACACCACAACCAAAAUCAGAAAAAGGAAAAAGAUGCAUUUUCAGAAUCCGAAACACCCUCCUUCAACAACCCUAAAUACCUCAUCAAAAUGAACCUCAAAUCUAAUCGAAUCCAACAUCUAGCAACCUCCAUCAAAGAACAAUCAAGUUUCCAUCACACCAAAAUCACAAAACCACUCCAAAAGGACAUGCUACCAAACCAGUCUUAGAAACCAAGAAAUCCACACAAAACCCACAUUCCAAUCCACCAAAAUUCAAAACAAAGAAACCCACAUUCAAAAGCAAAAACCUUUAAAACCCCCCACAAACAAACCCUAAACCAAAAUCCCCCCAAAAUCGAAAACCCUAAACUUAUAAAGCUCACACCUUUAACAUGAUUCCUCACAAUCCAACCCCUACCCACUUCAAUUCAAUUCCCCACAUUACAACCCCAAACCCUCAUUACCUCUUUCCUCAUAUCACCCCUCCUCGCCAUCACCGCCGCGUACAGCAGCCUCGGCAGCCGAUCAAACUCCGCCGCCUCGAUCCUCGGCGGCCACACCGCCGGGUUCUUGUAGCACAAAAACACAUGCCUCUCGUAAAACUCCACCGUCCCGGCGAGUUGACUCGUCCGGAACUCGGCUCUCAAGAACCCGAACUCCGCCUCGCCGCCGCCGCCGCUGUUGUUGUCGGCCAGGAGGCCCUCGUUCUGGAAGCUCCCGGAGGCGCUGCUGCCGCCGAAGGCGUGGUGCGGGUUCGGGUCAGAAGCGAGCGGGUCGGAUAUGACAAUCGGGGAGGAGGAGGACGACGGGGCGGCGAAUAAUGAGAGGGAAGAAGACGACGCGUCGUAGGUUCGGUCUCUGGCCGCCGUAGCCAUUUUAGAGAGAGAGAGAGAGAGAGAGAGAGAGAGAGAAAGUAAAGGUUUGAGUGAGAGUAUUUGUUGUUGUUUACUUCCAGUGGUAGUGGGAAGGUGGAGAAGUAGGAGUGGGUCUUUCUCUCUUCUCUUUCUCUACUACUACUAGUAGUGAGAAGAAUGGACUUUUGGUUCGACCCCAAGUUUGGGGAAGUUACGACACGUGCUUUUAUUAGGUGUAUUUUUGUACUCUCUCUCUCUCUCCUCCUCAGUUUCUCACACCACCCACACUGCGGUGCUUUAUUACCAUUUUAUGCUUCUACCCUCUGCAGGCAACAUUCAAAGGCUCUCAUGUAUCCGCUUGUCGUUCGAGACAAAAAAAAAAAAAUUCUUCUAACAAGGACUCUUAAAUUGAGGACUAAUCGAAAACUUUUUAGCUUAUCUCACUUCAUGCAUACUACAUCGAAGGUGAGUGUAUGCAUAUAGAUUUUUCAUUUCUAAAGUCCAUUUUGAUAAUUAGAUGGUGUUUUAGAGUAUUGAAAUUUUACAUACAUUUGAGCCGUUAGUGUACUCGGUACUAGCGGCAUUGAACUACUCUGUGACUCUGUAGUGACAUUGAACUACUCAUAUGCGCUUGUCAUUCUAGGAAAGAAUACGACGAGGGUGAGGAGUCCGACGGCAUUGAACUACUCUGUGACUCUGUAGUAAAUGCACUUGAAUGGUUUUCAUUCAAUGCAUAGAUAAAGGGGGGAAAGGGGGGAAGAAUGUGAUGCACAAUGAAGAGUAGGAGAGUCGAGACUACAUUUUCUAAUAACCGAUAAUCCAAGAAUUGUUGCAAUAUACAAAACCACACGCUCUCUCGAGUUACAUACAGCCAAGCUCAUUCAAAGCUUUGUUAAUGCAGACACAGUGACACACCCAAACUUGCUCUAGCCUUCAAUGUUUCAGAGUAGUUCCAUGAUUUGUUACACAUACACACACGUAUCAAAGGGGUCUCUCGCCCGGGAGAUAAGAAGGAGAGCCGCCCUCAAUCUGGUUCCUUUUCCUAUUAAACAUGCCGGUGAGAGUUGGCAAUAGUAUCUUUUUCGACAUAGAUGUCUUUGAUUUCUCCAUCUUCCGGACCUGGACAGUUUUCGUCUGGGGGUUCUGCGUUUGAAUCCUGUAAUGGCGUGGGGAUGAUUCCACUGACGUCUCUGUUUCUGCCAAUAUCCGUGAGGCAGCAUCUGCUGCUUUCUUUUGCUCGCGUUCCCGCCACCUUCGGAGCUCUCCUUCUACUGCCUUUUUGGCUGCUUCAGCCAUUUCAGCCCUCUUUCUAGCCUCCUCAGUUGCAGCCUUCAUAUCUUCAAUCUCCUUCUGGGUUGCCUCUAACCUCUUCAAGGCCUCAUUUUCACUAGCCUUCACAGCUUCCACCUGAGCCAUAGCAGCAGCCACUCUCAUUUCAGCUAAUGUGUCGGACUCCUCAACCUUUCGGCUCAAAGACUCAAAUUCAUCCUUUGAUAUAGUGAUCUGGCCACCAGACUCAGAAGUUGAUGCGCGAGCAGCGUUAGUUCUCUCGGAUAAAGUUCUAAUCUGAUCAAGGGCCCUUUCUUCUGCUGAUUUAGCUUCUUCAGCUUCUUCCAGAGCAACUCUCAGCCUCUUCUCUGCCUCUUUUACAGCGGUUUUGGUACUUUCAGCUUCCUUUUUCAUUUCCUCCGCUUUAAUCUUCAUCUCUUCUGCAUCCCGUCGAGCAUUUUCAAUUUCCAGGGACAGCUGGUUUAGCGUUGCUAUCAUUUCAGUGGAAGCACCUCUAGCUUUAGAUUCUUCAGCUAGGCAUGCUUCAAGCUCAGUCUUUGUUUUCCGCAGUUUGACAUGUAAAUUCCCAGCAAUAGAUUCUGUUUCUGCUUCCUUUUCCUUGAGCUCAGCAUGCUCUUUCUUCACAUUCUCAAUUUCCACCUUAAGCGCCUCAACUAAAAUUCUGAGGCUGCUUUCUUCUUCAACAACUUUAUGCAGUGAAUCCUUAGCAUCAUCCAGCUCCGAAGUGACUGUUCUUACAGAAUCUAAAUCUGAAGCCUUUUCAUUCUCCAUUUGCUUUUGCAGGGCUCCAAUUUCAUUCAACGUUUCAGCAAGUUGUGCUUCAAGAUUUCUGGAAAUUUCUGGAUCAAACUCUUUUUUUAGAGAAAGCACUUUCUUUGCAGAGUCUUCUGCCGUAGCCUUAUAUGCUUGCCUCAGGACAUCCUUUUCGGAAAAUAUUUUUGCUUGCUCUUGCUGGGCUUCCACAGAUGCGAGCUUCACUUGCCCUAUUGAUUCAUGCACAGCUGCAAUUUCCUUAGAGAGCUCACUAACCCUCUCCGCAUUUGCUUUGGCUGCAUCUUCAGCUUCUGCUGCCUGCUUCAGGGCAGCAACUUUUGCUUCUAAAGAUGCAUCACAGUCCUGACGGAUUUUUGUCAACUCUUUCUUUGCAGCAUCAAGUUCAGUAAUUACAUUCAUGUAUUUUGCUCUUUCUGUUUCCAAAUCUUGCUUCCAAGCACCAUCAGUUCCAGCUAGGUUCCCACAGUUUGCUUCUUUGAGUUGCUUGGCCCGAUUUUUUGCAGCUUCUGAUGCCUUUACUGCAGAUUCUUUAGAUUCACCAAGAGAUGUCAGCUUCUUAGUCAGCUCUUCACGAGUUACCUUGGCCUUUGCAAGCUCCAUAAGUGCUUGGGCUUUAGUAGUUUCAGCAUUCAUUAGUUGUUCCUUCAACUUGUUCAAUUCUUUCUGGACCAGGUGAAGCUGUGUCUCGUUGGCUAUCACUCGCUGCAUUGAAAACAACAAGUGUUAACAGCUUCCCACAAGAAAAAUCUGGAUAUUUUUAAAAGUAUCGGCAUUAACUAAAAAGUCGCUAUGAUUUUGAGUUGAACGAGACUAUAUCAUUCAUAUCCAUAAAAACAAACUACGAAUUCUUUCAAGCAGCAGGUUCCAUCUCAAUAACUUUUAUAGACAGCUGAAAAUAUUAUGAGUUGUAACUAUUUGGGUGGGAAGGAAGCUGCAUACAUGCCCUUAAAUCCACAAAGAAAAACUUGAGCACGGAAUGAUCUUAACACUUCUUUUACUUUAACAACAAUUGUUUUCUAGUUCUUCUUCAAAAAUGGACAAAAAGUUGCUUUAAUUAAUGUGACAACAGGAUUAGCCAAGUUGCAAAUGCUUGCCAAUUUAAAAUAUAGAUGUCACAUUAUGUGGUGUACAAAUACCUCUGCUGACUGAGGCUUUGUCUUCCUAAUGGCAGGUUUCUCUCCAGAGCCAGAGAACGCACCCUCGCCAAAUAGUGAUACAGCAUCUUUAACGGAUUGGAAUGGUGCCCUAGUGUCAAUCUCUCCCACCUCCACUUUAGGACUAGGAGAGUUUGUGGCACUCUUGUGGUCUUUUGCAACCAUACUGCUCUGUUUAUUGUAAUACCUCUGAUCCUGGUUUUCUGAAAAAGUAAUAGAAUAACACUUUAAAAUGUAAUCCAAUGAAAAGGAGCAAGGAUAAUCGCCAAUUGCUACCAACAACACGUCUCAGCCUACCAAACAUACAAUUUACCCAACCCUCAUUUAGCAUUCAUACAAACAACACAGGCAAGACACAUGCAUCAUAGGAUAUGAUUAGAAGGCUAAAACGGCAGACACAAAUUCCCACUAACCCAAACUACAUUGACACUAUGAAAUUUGCAUAGACUCUCACUCUAUGGUUGGAGAUGACAACAUUUGAUACUGAAAAUCCAUGUGAAAUUGGAAUAUAAACUAGUACUGGGCCUUGUCAAACCUCUUGCACCUUUUAUACUUCGUUAAGAAACCAAACAGGAAAGUUGAAACACCAGAAAGAAAUCAUGACUCAAUUCUACAGAAGCAUUUUCAUAAUGCACACUCACAACUAAGCAAGGUAAAGAAGAAUAUGAUAGCCUCAGUGUUUAAUAAGUUCUCUUCCUCACAUUACACCCAAUUCUACCCCACAGUCUCACUACCAUUUCUAUUCAACUCAUAAACAGCACAAAGGCCACCACCAAAGAGUUCAAGGCCACCCAACACCACCAUAUAAGGUUUAACAACUGCUAACUGCAAAAAGGUUAACGGCACAAGGAAAAAGCUGAGUAAGCUCAAACAAAUCAACCCAACAGCACAUUUUGCCAGUAGCAUUUCCCAGAACUAGUUCUCGAAGUUUAACAAACAACAGCAAAGCACAACACACUUUAUACCCGAAAAUGAAACAGAGAGAAAGAAAAGGAGCCAAUUCAAUUUUCAAAGGACAAUAUAACACGGCUAGUCUACGCUUCACCAACACCUAGUUCUCAAAUAUUCAUAUGAAAAACUAUAAAUAUUCAGCCGAACUCUUUAAUCAUGAGACACACACCUUUUCUAUGACAGCAAAUCCUUCAAGAAAAUGGUCCCAAAAAAAUGAUUCACCAACAUUAAUAAUGAAAACUCAAGCACUCAUACAAUUCAAUUCCAAAAACACUAAAAUAAGAAAGCACCUAAAUAAUCAAAAACCCAGAUUUCUUACUACCCACAACAGUAAAUCAGACUCAUAAUGCAACCAAUCAGUGCCAUCAAACAAAGCCCCCCAAAAAAAAGGUAAAAACUUGAAACCAAGAAAAGGGUAAAAAUUUCUUACUCAGAAACCCUAAUCAAAGCCACAAAAUUCACACAACCGCAAACCCUAAAAGCUCGAAACCGGAGCUCCAGUCGGACCAGACCCAAAAACAAGAGUGACCAUGUUCACCGAUCGUCUUGUUCUGACAAAAAGACACAGACCCUUUGAAAUUGUCGACCGGAAAAGCAAAACCCACCGAUCAAAUCCCUCAAUCGCCAAGAAAGACUCGAGCUUUCUCGGCAAAGAUUGCUUUUUUAUCUGUGCAAGAAAACUGAGAGGGAAAAAGGAGCAAUCUUUGAGGGCUUGGAUUAUGAAAUGGGUCUUUGGCUGGACAACAGAAGCGGGUAGAGAGAGAGAGAGUGUUGUAGAGAGAGAAAGAGAGAGGUUUGAAAAUUCGAAAGCUGGUUGGAGACAAAGUUUAUAUCAGACUGACUUGGUGCUGAGAAAAGGAGAGAGAGAUGGGAGCAGAAUCCCGUGGAAUAUCUUGUCGUUACCUGUGCUCUCUUAAUGUGGUUUCCUGGUAGGACAUUUUUGCCCUUCGUGGCGAGUCCGGUAAAACCGAAAAUCGAAAAACUAAUGGACUUAGAACCGGACUUAAUCGUACUAAAACUUGACAUAUUUUCGUUUGUUCAAAUCGAACCGAGCUCAUCUGAACUCGACUUGGCUCUAAUUUUUGAAAACGAAUCGUUUUAGAUAUAUGUCACGAUCUUUCUAAAAUUCGAUUAAAUAUGUCGGUAAACUCUAGAAAAAAAAAAAUUAGAGUUCUAGUAAUAUCGUGUUAUUACGUGAUCUAUAUAUAAGUUUUCUUACUAUAUCUAUUGUUGUAGCAUUACAAACAUUAUAUACCUAAAACAAAUCGAAGAAUAUAUUGGCCGUCAUAUUUGAAGAUACGGUUGCUCGAUGCAAUAAGUGACACCACUCGAUAGCUACUAGCUCACUAAAUCGAGAACCUAGAAAACAAUGGUUCCCAAAACCAAAUCAAAUGACAAAAACUCAAAAUUUUGAGCUCAAAAUAAUGAACUAAACUAUUGUACCUUGCAGACCAUUUUGCCCAUCUUGAAAGAAGUACAAUGGUUUGAAGCAACCGAUGAUGGGAGCAUUGUACAAGUGGCACCGUCCAAAAGAGAAAGAGACGGCUUUAGUUGGCUUGUGAAAAUGGGAUUGUGGAUAGGCCUUUUGCAGUUUUGCCUUUUAGUUGUUUUCUUUCUAGUUCAUCUGCUCAAAUGUCACACCAUUAUUUAGUCUUUUUUCUCAUAUGAUGUGGAUGUGGGGUUUUGGAUAAAUAUCUUAUUUGUGGUUGACCUGAAAAUUGACUAGCAUCAUGGGCAUGCAUAUUCAAGGGACUUUCAGCGUUAGAGCAAUAGAAAUUAAUCUUUUGCUGAAUUUCGAUAAAAUUGAAAUGUUUUUAACUAUAUGUUGCAACACAAUAUAUAGUCACUUUGAUCGAUUCGUGAUUUGAACGCGGGUUGGGUAAGAUUGUGUUUUUUUUUUUUUUUUGAAAGGCAUUGUGAUUGUAUGUACUUAUUUAUAACCUAAUUAAAUUCAGACAUUAAUAAGGAUAACCAUAUUGGUCCAACAUGACUGAUGUAACUGUCCAAAAAUCAUAUUAUUAGUUAAGACAUGAAAUAAAUUCCAAGAAAAUAAUUCCAACACGUCCAGAUAUUAGUUGUGGGCAACUACUAAAGGUAACGGAAAGAAGAACAAUUUAAUUGGGCCAACAAGAAGAGGCGUCAUUUUCAUUUCAAAAGAAAAAAAAAAACAACAGCAGCUAAGGGCUUUAUGAACGCAUGGGCUGUUUUGGGGUAAAACUAACUAGGUAGAUUUUUUACCUUUGAGUAUGGACGUGGUUCAGCUUUCACCAGCACGGGCGAACAUGUUUAUACCAAUGCAAAUGAGCAAUGUAUUCAACUAUUCAUACAACAAACGAAAUUAUGAUGUUGUUAUUCAAAUUUACCCGUGAUCUUAUUUCGUGAUAAAAUUUAUUUCCGAGCCUCCUAAACAAGUAAACGUCAUAUAACAAUGAGUCUUGUGUAUGUUUGGCGAAAACAUAUAAUGGGAAUUGUGGUUAAAUUCAUCUAAUACAACUGCUCCUACAAUUAACUUAUUUUUCUCUAGUGACACACUACCACAUAUGGUUUGAACUUUGAAGGGUCGAUGGCAUAGGGUUUAGCACUUUAGGCCUUUAGGGCUUCUUGUGGAGUUGUUUGUGAUGGUGUAUCCUGCUUCGGCCCAUAUUCCUUUUUGGGUUGGCAUUUAUUACCUCGGUCCAUAUCUUCUUUGGUUACAUGUAUUUGCUUUUGGCCCAUAUAUUUUUACUUGCCCAAAUCAAAUUUUUGGAGGCCCAAAAUUUUGACACACCCAAAUCGAAUCUAUAACUGAAGCUUCUUUUUUUUCUUUUUUUCUUUUUUUGGGUCUGAUAUCACUCUGAAAGUCUGAAGCUUUCACAAAGCGGUUAGAGUCGACACGUUGGCUGCUGACGUGACACGUGGACGGUUUUCUAUAUUCUUAUGAUAAGAACUGGAGCCCUAGGCCCUAGCUACAUAACACGUACGUAACUACGUACUCCCUCGACUUUCAGUAAGCUUCAACAAAAAUGGCAAGCAUCAAAGAAGAAAACAACCUCCACCACGGGGCACCAUCAGAAGGGUUAGAGCGAGCAAACGGACCACCUGAAGUGGUGGCAGAAGUUACCGGCGGGCUGUUGCAGUCGCAGCGCGAUCGAUUUUGUGAGACAACAGAGCAUAGAGUGGGGAAUGAUAGCGAUGAUGGCUCGGCUGAUGUUGCCGACUGUUGCGGUUCGAGCCAGCAAGCAGACCACUUCAAAUGUGUCCACGCGGUCACUGAGCGAUCCAAAUGAAUCAAAUGAUCGAUGGCCUAUAUAUGAGGGUGAUCGAGGGUGAGAUAUUUAGCUCGAUGUGGUGUUGCUAGCUCAUCCCACAUAUACAUGUCUUUGUUAUUCACUUAUUUGUAUGUUCUUUUGUGUUCGAUAUCUUUUGGUUCGAGUCUUAAUUUCCAGCCCUACUAUACGACAUACGUGUUGUAGUUGUAUGAGAUAUGUACCCACCAAGAUGUUAAUUUACUGUACUUUCUUACCAAAUUAUACGUUGUACCAUAAGUUCUUGAUCAUUGACUCCUUGUAUAUCAAAGUUCCAAAUAAUUGAAAGUAUGAAAAUUAACAUGGUCCUGCAUAUCCAUCUUUCAUUAUCGAUAUGAUUUGUGUUUUGACUAAUAUUUAUUAGGUAUCAAUACGAAUACGACUCAUGUUUUGAGAUUAUUUGAGUGUCUUAAUGUUUUAAGAUUAUUUGAGUGUUCAGACAUAAGAUAUACAAUUCGGGUUCUAAUUAACAUAAGAUAUUAUUUGUGUUUUACAACUACUGGUAGUAAGAUGUUAUUUUCUAUAAUUGAAAUAGUUUAGGUGUUCGGUUAUAUAUAAAAUAUACCAACGUGAAGUGUUAUUUAUAAUUACGGUAUUACCGGUACAAUUCGUAUUAAACAUUGGGACAUAAAUCGAGUUAUAUGGAGUAGUAGCUUGCCAGGGUUUGGUUUUGAAGACAUAUGUAUGUGAUUUUGCAGUGUGUUUGAACAUAAUAGUCGAUCUGGUGCUUUCCGGCAUCUUGAAGUUGUGACCGGUACCGGACGGUCUUCUCUAACUUUGAAAGUUUGAAUGAUAGAUGACAGAGGAGACAAAAACUAUACCCUCUCGAUCAGAGCUAGGGUCCCCACUCCAUAUCAGGCUUAUCAGCCGCUUAUGACGUCGGGAUUAAAAUCCUUGGCUGGCCAGAUCGAGAACUGACUUUGACCACCUCGUCGGUUUGUAUUUUUGUCCCGAAACGGAUUAGAAUAUAGUUGCCGGUCGGAAUCAUGCUCUUUGUUGUGAUCUACUGUCGACUUGAUUAUUAAGAGUCACCUUCAUUCGCAUGGACAUAUUCGCUUUGGCCCGACCAACAUAUAUGCGCCACUAGAAACAGUAUGAUUGGCUUUGCCAUAGAAAAAAAAAAAUAUUUGAUCAGAUCUCGAAUUCUCCAUCCCAUUUAAAAUUUGUAAUACACUACUCGGGUCAUAUAGUCUAUGUUCGUGAUGUUUUCUACUACAAGAUUAUCAUCACGUAAGAUAUAACACUAAUUAUCAGAUGUAAAAGUUAAAAGAGUUAUAAAGAAAAACAUUUUAGACAACUCAAGAUUAGCAACAAAGUCUUAGACGUCGAAGCUACCGAGUAUUCAUCUUGCCACACACGACUUUUAAGGAGUUGGCCGGUGACCUUCAUGUGCAAAAACGCAUGUCGCAAAGUUUGUCUCUGUAUAGACCUGGUUUUCUCACCCGUGUUACGGAAAUCAUUUUUGCUGUCUGUCACUAGGGUACAAUGGGCGGUGAGUUUUGAUGAUACAUGCUAGAGGUUGUAUUCGAUGUUGCAUAUGCAAUAUUUCUUCAACGUACAAAGAUACCUUAACCGGAAAACGUCAUACAGUUACUCGAAAUUAUAGCUUUCCUUUCUCAUUUCUUACCAUAUUGUCUUUCUCUUUCUGAACAAGACCAAGGAAUCAUGUGGAGGUGCUGUAACCUCUGGCUACCUGAUCUACACGACACCUUACAUUCUUGAAGUAACUCUGAUCGUUAGUAGGCCGCCAUUAUAAAUAUAUAUCCAGUUAUCCAUAAUCCAUUGUUUAUUAAUUCAGUGGAGGUACGUUGUUGGAUGUGUAGUUAUGCUUGGUUUGACACAGGACAACAUAUUAGCCUCUACUUUCGUUUUCUGCCUCUACCUUCGUUUAUAUAUGUGUAGCUACACAUACACAGUGAGAGAGAGGGAGAGAGAGAGAGAUGGGGAAGAAGGAAGGUGGAGAAGGAGAAGAGGGUAGUACUACUACUCUUCCUUUGUUUGAGAGCAAAGCAGCGAGAUAUAGAGGUGCUUAUAGGGCUUUUGCAGCAACUAUAUUUGUGGGUGUGUGUUUGAUAUGGGUGUACAGACUAGUAAACAUCCCAAAAGCUGGAGAGAGAGGAAGAUGGGCUUGGAUCGGUAUGAUCAUAGCCGACGUCUUGUUCGGUCUGUACUGGAUCACCACUCAGUCUGUUCGCUGGACUGUCACUUAUCGUCAACCUCUCAAGAACAGACUCUCACAGAGGUUUACUAGCUUCUUAUAUAUAUUGAUCUUCUAGUUCAUACAUACGAAUGGUAGUGUAAAACAGUAACCAGUAUUAGAAAGGAUUUGUCUGAAAGAAAAGAAGAACAAGUUAAGUUUGCAUUCGUAUAGAGAAGUGACAUUUCUGUGUGAAGUAUGCUUAAAAUUUCAAAAUUUACCUGAGACUUUGAGUUGCUUACUUUGGGUUUAUAGAAAUCUUUGUUUGUGUUAUGCAGAUAUGAGGACAAGUUACCAGGUGUUGAUGUGUUUAUAUGCACUGCAGACCCGAAAAUGGAGCCGCCAAGUUUAGUGAUUAACACUGUGUUAUCAGUUCUGUCCUGCAAUUUCCCAUCUGAGAAGUUGAGCGUUUAUCUUUCUGAUGAUGGCGGUUCUGAGAUUACUUUCUAUGCUCUUUUGGAGGCGUCUCGGUUCUCGAAGUAUUGGAUACCCUUUUGCAAGAAGUUCAAGGUUGAACCGAGGGCACCGGAGGCCUACUUUGCCCUGCAUUCUGAUGUUCAUGACAUCAAGUAUGGUCAAGAAUGGCUUGACAUGAAGGUCAGUACUGUCAUCUGUGAAACUAGAAGAACAAGGUUAAUGUUUUCACUUCUUUGAUUUUGUUGAAAGAAUGACUAAUUGAUUCACAUUUGUAUGAUGUUGAAGAAACUUUAUGAUGAAAUGAAAAAUCGGAUCGAUUCUGUUGUUGAAAGUGGCAAGAUACCAGAAGAAACAAGGAUUCAACACAAAGGGUUCUCAGAAUGGAACCUUAAGGUAGCAAAGAAUGAUCAUCACUCAAUUGUGCAGGUAUAAAAUUCUUGAAUGAAUUGAUCUUAAUUUGUCAGUUUUUGUCAGUCCUGUAUUUGUUUCAUUGCUCUGCCUCUGAUUUCUGUUGAAGAUUAUAAGUGAUGGAAGAGAUACAAAUGCCGUGGACAAUGAUGGAUGCCGAUUACCAACCAUCGUGUACAUGUCAAGAGAGAAGAGACCCCAACAGCCACACAACUUCAAAGCUGGAGCCAUGAAUGCACUGGUUAGCUUUAGCUUUCUUUGCUUAUUCCAAGUGUCAAGUGGUUUUAACUUGAAAUUUGCAAGUAACAUGUAACUGAAAAGGCAAUUUCCUUUCUAUAGUUGAGAGUAUCAUCACAGAUGAGCAACGCGCCCUUUAUUCUCAACUUGGACUGUGACAUGUACGCAAACAACGCAGCCGCAAUACGAGAGGCACUCUGCUUCUUCCUUGAUGAAAAGACUGGCCACGAGACAGCUUAUGUGCAACAUCCGCAGAACAACAACAAUUUGACCAAGAAUGAUAUCUAUGGAAAUGCUUGCUAUGUAACUAAUGCGGUGAGUUAUGUAGACCAUGGCUCUAACUGCCUAUUUCCUUUCAAGUUAGGACUAAUAAAAGUAAGCUGAAGAUCUUGCACUUAAACUAACAAAUUCUGAUUUAUGGAACAAGAUUGAACUGGCCGCUUUAGGUGGAUAUGGAGCGGCCUUGUAUUGUGGCACUGGAUGUUUCCAUCGAAGAGAGUGUCUUUGUGGGAAGAAGUAUUCAAAGGGUUAUAGAGAAAAAUGGGACAUUGAGGACCAGAAGAAUACUAUUGAUAAAAGUAUCCUAGAACUGGAAGAAUCUGCAAAACCACUUAUCGAUUGUAGCUACGAAAAGGGCAGUCAAUGGGGAAAAGAGGUCUCUUUCUCUGUUUCUCUCUUUUCUGUCACAAAUUCUAAACGUAAUGACUAAUGAUGAAAUAUUUGUUAUGGCUACAGAUGGGACUGAUCUAUGGAUGCCCUGUCGAAGAUAUUGUUACUGGUUUGGCAAUACAAUGCAGGGGUUGGAAAUCAGUUUAUUACAAUCCAGAAAGGCCUUCCUUUGUUGGUGUUGCUCCAAACACCCUAGAGAUAGCACUUGUUCAACAGAAGAGGUGGUCUGAGGGAAUGUUUCAGGUAUUUUUCUCCAAGUAUUGCCCUUUCAUAUAUGGACAUGGGAAGAUACACUUUGGUGCCCAAAUGGGAUACUGCAUCUACCUUCUAUGGGCUCCAGUUUCAUUCCCAACUAUGUAUUAUGCAAUUGUUCCUCCUCUUUGCUUGCUACAUGGCAUUCCCUUGUUCCCCAAGGUACCUCUUCUCACUCUUUUAUCUUGAUGAACAUAAGAUUUGUUUAGCCAAUUGAGCAUCAGAAUUUAAGGGCGGAUUCUAACAUGAAACAGUAAUGCAAAAUGAAUUUAAGCCAAUUCAACACUAGCUGUGGUGUUUAAAAUGGGAAAUUUUAAUUUAUCUUUCAGGUUUCAAGCCUAUGGUUUCUAGCAUUUGCUUAUGUUUUUGUAGCAAAGAAUGCAUACAGCAUAGUUGAAUUUGUGAUGUGUGGGGGUAAACUGCAAGCAUGGUGGAACUUACAAAGAAUGUGGCUGAUCCGGCGAAUUACUUCUUACUUCUUUGCCUUCUUCGACACCAUAAAGACACAAUUAGGGCUAUCUGAAACACACUUUGCCCUCACCGAUAAGGUUGUCACCGAGGAUGUGUUAAAGAGGUACGAGCAAGAGAUUAUGGAGUUUGGAAGCUCAAGCAUUAUGUACACUGUAUUGACAACAACGGCAUUGCUGAGCUUGGUAAGCUUAGUUUGGGGGACAAAGAGGGUUGUGAUGGAUUUAGAGUUGAAGGCCUUAGACCAGUUCAUCAGUCAAGUUAUUCUUUGUGGCAUAUUGGUUUUGAUCAAUGUACCAGUGUAUGAAGCUCUCUUCUUUCGCAGUGAUAAGGGCCACAUACCAUCCUCUGUCAUGUACAAAUCUGUUUUUGUGCUCUCAUUGGCAUGCUUGAUGCCUAUAUAGUAGGAAAGCUUGCGCAAAGAUUGAAUAAUAAUCAUGGUGCAAAUGAGCAUUCCCCUUUCGGGUAAUAUCCUUAAUAUUCCUAGACUAUUUUUUAUUUUAUUAUUUUGUUCAAAGAAUUGAACAUUUCGAAGAUUAACUUUUGAGUCCUUGUUUUAGUUCAACCUCGAUCAUUUCGCAGUUCCUAGCUCCUCAAAAUUUAGACCGUAAAUUUAUUCUUAGAGCAUGUUAUAUUUAGGUUGAAUCGAACUUCAAAAGACAAAUCUGGCAACUCUAUUUGAGUUUGAUUAAAAGAAGUUUGAUAUUUGAUUUGGAGGAAAAAUGUAGGACUUUUGAAGAUACCCAAACGGUCUAAUUUAUUUCAACCUCUAUUUUUUUUUUUAGAGAAUUGAAAUUUACAUUCCUAUUUUUACAAUCCACACUCAUUUCAUUCCGUUUUUUAGUAACUUAAGUAUUGUCUUUAGUAUGUGUUUUGUCUUAUAUAAAAACUUUAUACUAAAAAAAAGAAAAGAAUAGUGUGGAUUGUAAAAGAAUGAGUGCAAAUUUAAUUUUUCUUUAUUUUUUUAAUUUUUAUAUAUACAUUUAGGUAAAGAACCCUAUUGUGUUUUUAGGCUAAAUAAUAUCACCAUGAAGUGAUGAACUAUAGCAGUGUGGUAACUGGUAGUUGAUGCAUGUAUCAAUCAACCAAACCAAGCAAAAUAGGCAAACUGGUUGCCUGGUUGGUUAUGGCCGGAAACAGAACGCAAUCAAAGGUGAUGCAUGGAUGAUAUCAUAGAGAGCUAAGUCGAUCAAACCUUGUGGGCAGUUGACAACCAGAUCAAAUUGAUUUCAUAAGGGAUGACAAUUAUAGAACCCCUUUUGGAAUAAACUUUCAAAUAUUGAAUAUUCAAACCAAUAAAGCAGAAAUGGACAAAAUGCAAGAGUGCUACCUGAGUUUGAUUCAGACAUACACUAAAAUAGUUUAAUGUAAUUAUUAAUAUAUUUCUCAGAUAUGAUAAAGAUAUAGCAGCCAUAAAAGAACAAAGAAGAUGAAAAGAUUCCUUACUGAACCAUGCCAAAUGUCAUUGUCAUUGACAUAUAUGCUCAAACAAGUAUAUAUAUGAUAUAUGUCCCUGAGAUAAAAACAGAAAAGCUGAGAAAGACAGAACAGAGAGAUCUGAAUUGGAUAGAUAUGGGAGAGGGAGGGAUCAAUUCACCAUUGUUUGAGACGAAGAGGGCCGAGGGUAUAGUUCUGUAUAGGCUUUUUGCUGCGUCUAUUUUCGUGGGUAUAUGUUUGAUUUGGGUUUACAGAGUGAGUCACAUACCAAAAGCUGGAGAAGAUGGAAGGUUUGGUUGGAUGGGUCUGCUGGCUGCUGAGUUAUGGUUCGGGUUUUACUGGCUCCUCACUCAAGUCUCUCGGUGGAACCGCGUGUAUCGGCACACCUUCAAGGACAGGCUCUCGCAGAGGUACGUUUAGCAAUCAUGUCGAUGUUAUAAUUAGGAAAAGUGUUAGAAUGUACUUUUAGGCAUAUCAAUGACACUAUAUGUAAUGAGAUUGCAAAUCAGUUUCAUAAGUUGGGGUACGUAGUAAUACUAUGAAUGCUAUAAAUUGGUUCUCAUUCUCUGGAACAGAUAUGAGGAAGAGUUGCCGGGAGUGGACAUAUUCGUGUGCACGGCGGAUCCAACUAUAGAGCCGCCGAUAAUGGUUAUAAACACUGUUUUAUCAGUAAUGGCUUAUGAUUACCCACCGGAGAAGCUCAGUGUGUACCUGUCCGAUGAUGGUGGAUCGGAACUUACAUGCUAUGCUCUAUUGAAAGCUGCGGAGUUUGCUAAGCAUUGGAUACCAUAUUGCAAGAAGUACAAUGUGGAGCCAAGGUCACCUGCAGCUUAUUUUGCCUCACAGGCUUCUGAUAAUGCAGGGGAUCUCACUCUCAUCAAGGUACUAAUUGUUAAUAAGUCGUUGACUCCUUAUAAUGGGGUCUAAAUCAGAGUUGGUCAUAUAUAUCAUGCUGCGAGAUUCCAAUGUCCCAAUUUCGAAAGGAUAAGAUAAACAUAGUGUCCACAGUUUAAAAGUCAACAAUUAUUUGCUUUUAUUUAUUUUUAUUAUUUCAAUCAAAACAAUUAUUUCUUUUUGAAAAUGGGAUGGGUUUUGGACAAAGAAAAGACUAAUGUUAGACAAACCAUUUAUUUACGGGAAAUUUUUACUAUAUUAUAUGGUAUAACAUGCAUUUAAAAUGUGAACCAUCAGAUCGUCUUAAUUUUUAAAAUGCUAAACGAUUCGACGGUUCACAGCUAAGAUGCAUGCUAUACCAUACGAUACAGCAGCCAAACCCCUAUUUAUGUGUCUCACCACUCUCACCUACCUUGUGCUGAUGUUUCACAUGCAUGCACGUCAUAUGCUAUGAUUAUUUUUUUGAAAAAUAAAUAAAUAAUUUGAUCACCAUCCAGCGUAUUGUAGUGAAAGUUGUCAAAUCUGCCAUAUAUGCUACCACAUGUACAUGUGGUAACCAAGAAAUUAAUGAUUACUUAAAGAAUUAAUUAUCAAUUCCAAUACUUCAUGAAAUAUUGAAAUUGAUAUGAACUAUAGAGUUAUUUAAACGUUUGUCAGUGAAAAAAGUACUUGAUCAUUUUUUUUUUCUUUUAAAAACUUUUUAAUAAUAACUCACACACCCUAUAUAUGUCGUGAGGUUUGAACCCAUCACUUGAGAAAGUAUAUAACUAGUCAACCUUCACAUUGGUAAGAACUUAAAUGUAGAAGCUUCAUACCCAAGUUCAAAUUCCACCGACAAUGAUUGGAGUUCAAUUUCAAUAUAUUUUUGAUGGUUAAGGAGAAAAAAACGUUUUUACAUGUGCCCCCAUCACUGAUGAGUCUUUGAACCUAGAAAGCCUUUGAUUAAGCCAUGUGAUUUCAAUAGAAAAAAAGAGUAUAUAUAAGUAGUCAAAUUGAUAGACCAAUUGGUAACAUUUGAAGAAUGCAUGUGUUUAUAACUGUGAUAUGUUUGCUUAUGAUUGCCUUCCUAUUGGUAACAUAUGAUUGCUUAUGUUUAUAACAGAGAUUAUACAAAGACAUGGAGAAUAAAAUCGAAAGUGCAGUGAAGUUAGGCAGCAUUUCUGAAGAAGUACGAUCAAAACACAAAUGCUUUUCUCAGUGGAAUGCGUAUUUAUCUCCACGAGACCAUGACACCAUUCUACAAGUAUGGAUCUAUAUCUCAAUUUACUGAUCAUCAUAAGUCAAAUAAUUUAGAGAAUCAACUUGAUAACAUUAGCUAGAUAUUUACUCCAAUGUAGAUCGUAAUUGAUGGGAGAGACCCAAAUGCCAGAGAUGUUGAAGGGUGUGGAUUGCCAACCUUAGUGUAUUUGGCUCGCGAAAAGAGACCUCAACAUCACCAUAACUUCAAAGCUGGUUCUAUGAAUGCACUGGUAUGCUGCACAUCUCUUGAUAGAAUUCUGUUAGAUAGAGGAGUCUUUGAUAUAACAAUAAUUUUCAUCGUUCAUUGUUUGUUAUGGUGAUCCUUAACUUGUGCAGAUUAGAGUAUCUUCAAACAUUAGCAAUGGGAAGGUUAUUCUUAACGUAGACUGUGACAUGUAUUCAAACAACUCCACGGCCAUAAGGGAUGCACUCUGCUUCUUAAUGGAUGAAGAGAAAGGCCAUGAGAUUGCAUUCGUACAGUUCCCACAGAAUUUUGAAAACGUUACCAAGAAUGACCUAUAUAGUAGUUCACUACGAGUAAUCAGUGAGGUAUGCAUUUGUUUGCAGUCAUUAAUGAAUGAUGCUAUAGUUAACUGAACUUAUUUAAUUUAACUAUGCUGAAAAAUUUGGAUCUCUUUGUUUUGGGUAUCAACUGAAGGUGGAAUUUCAUGGUUUGGAUGGUUAUGGUGGUCCUUUAUACGUUGGAAGUGGAUGCGUUCACAGAAGAGAUACUCUAUGUGGGAGAAAGUUCAGCAAAGGAUGUAAGAGUGAAAUGAAGUGGGAGAAUAGGAAAGGAGAAGAAACAAGCAUUCCUAAAUUGGAAGAAAGUUCAAAAAGACUAGCAAGUUGUACAUUUGAAGUGAACACUCAAUGGGGAAAAGAGGUCUUCUGUUCUCUUUCUCGUUGUCACACGCACACACAUUAUCAAGUGCAUAAUAAGUUGACAUUUGAGCCUGAUCAGUUCUUAUAAUUUGCAGAUGGGUUUGAAAUAUGGGUGUCCGGUUGAAGAUGUGAUUACGGGGUUAUCUAUCCAAUGCCGCGGAUGGAAAUCUGUGUACUGCAAUCCAACAAGGAAAGCUUUUCUAGGAGUAGCUCCAACUACACUGCCUCAAACACUUGUGCAGCACAAGAGAUGGUCAGAAGGUGAUUUUCAGAUUUUGGUUUCUAAGUACAGCCCUGCAUUGUAUGGGCAUGGAAAGAUAAGUUUAGGCCUUCAACUUGGUUAUUGCUGCUACUGCUUGUGGGCACCAAACUGCUUGGCAACACUAUUUUACACUAUUCUCCCUUCACUUUACCUUCUCAAAGGCAUUUCAGUAUUCCCACAGGUAAUGGGAGAUCCUCGAUCUGUCAAUUCUUUCUAAUUUGUCACAAUGAAACGAGAUAGAGAUUACUAUAUGUAAUAAUGGGGUUUUGUUUUGUGGAAUUAGAUCACAAGUCCCUGGUUCAUACCAUUUGCGUAUGUGAUAAUUGCCAAGUACACUUGGAGCUUUGGGGAGUUCAUGUGGUCUGGUGGCACAAUGUUGGGAUGGUGGAAUGACCAAAGAAUAUGGCUAUACAAAAGAACAAGCUCCUACCUAUUUGCCUUUAUCGAUACGAUUCUGCACUAUCUGGGUUACUCGGAUUCAGGCUUUGUAAUAACAGCCAAGGUGGCCGAUGAAGAUGUGUCACAAAGGUACGAGAAAGAGAUUAUGGAAUUUGGAGCCUCUUCUCCAAUGUUCGUCAUAUUAGCAACAGUUGCAUUGCUCAAUUUGUACUGCCUUGCUGGGUUUCUUAAGGAAGCAAUCGCUAGAAAUGGCACUGUUGGAGUUUACGAGACGAUGGCUUUGCAAAUUCUUCUAUGUGGUGUUUUGAUUGUCAUCAACCUGCCUUUGUAUGAAGCUCUUUGCUUGAGGAAGGACAAUGGAAAAAUGCCGAGUUCUGUGGUAUUUAAAUCGAUGGCGUUUGUUGCAUUAUCUUGUGUAUGUAGUAAACUUCUUAAUAAUUAGAAAGAAAAAACAAUCCUUGCUAAAUAAUCAUAAAACGAUCUAUAUUAUUCAAUCUUUCUCACUCUUGCAUAUAUUGUGUGUCACAAUAAGUUCAUCAUAAGUCGAAUUUCCAUUUUCUAGUUUGUUCUGAGUUGCUCUCUAUGUUCUAUCAAUUAUCAAAGUUAAUUAAUUGAUAUGCAUAUGCAUGUAGCUAGAUUUGCUGAUUUAGCUUCUUUUCUACUUAUUUGCUUCACAACAUCUACAAAAUAUAUAAUUGAAGUAAAUGACUCGAAAAAAUAUUGAACCAGCUAAAAAAAAAAAAUUAUAAUUUUACAUUUGUGCUAAUUGUAGAACUUUCUAGAAAUUAUACUAGGACUGAGAAGCGGCUCUAGCUUGUGUCUUAUAACGGGUCUCAAAUCGAGCCAAUAUAUCUACAUUCUUAGUAUAAAGCAUGAGAAGCAUCUCACAUAGCUUUAAUAUAGAACCUUGAAACAUAUACAAGCAAAUCCAGCAAAUGCCAUCGACUUAAAUGCCACAGAGCUCGGCAGCUUGCCCUUGUCCUUCCUUAGGUAUAGGGCUCCGUAUAACGGUAGGUUAAUGGCAAUGAAAACCACACAUAGAAGAAUCUGCAAGCACAUUGUCUCAUAAACGUCUGCAAAACCAUUCAUUCCAGUAAUUGCUGCCUUCACAACCCAAGCAAAGCAGUACAGAUUGAGCAAUGCAAGUGUUGCCAGCACUGUAAACAUCGGAGACGAGCUCCCGAAUUCCAUGAUCUCUUUCUCAUAUCGUUCGGACACGUCUUCAUCGGCAACUUUGGCUGUUAUUACAAAUGCUGAAUUGCUGUAUCCGAGGUAGUGUACAAUAGUGUCGAUGAAGGCAAAUAGGUAUGAGGAUGUUCUCUGGUAAAGCCAUAUACGUUGGUCGUUCCACCAACCUAAGCUCGUGCCUCCACACCACCGAUACUCCACGAAGCUCCCAAUGUUCUUAGCAAUUAUCACAUAUGCAAAUGGUAUGAUCCAUCUGCUGGAAAUCUAAUCCGACAAGAAAAAAAAUCCAUAUUAAAGCCGUACGUUAAAGAUAACGCAUGCAUGAAAAGUUACUAGUAACAUGUAAUUUUGUGAGAUGAACUAUACCUGGGGAAAUAAGGACGUGCCUCUAAGAAGGUAAAGUGAAGGAAGGGUGGCGUAUAUUACUGUUGCCCAGCAAUUAGCAGCCCAUAAAUUGUAGCGAAGGUAUCCCAGUUUAUGGCCUAAACUAAGCUUUCUAUGGCCACACCAUACAACAUUGUCCUUAGAAAGCGUAAUCUGAAGGUUGCCUUCCCCCCAUCUCUUAUGCAUCACAAGUGCCUGAAGCAAGGUGGUAGGAGCUAAUCCUAAGAAAGCUUUCCUUGUUGGAUUGUAAUUCACUGAUUUCCAUCCUCGGCAUUGGAUUGAUAGUCCUGUUAUCACAUCCUCAACUGUACACCCAUAUUUCAAACCCAUCUGCAGAUUAUAAAGAUUUUGUCUCAACUUAAAACGAGUAUAUAUUCCUAAAUACACAUUAAAUUUUAAAUGGGAAUUUUCUUGGAAUAUAAAAACAUACAUGAGUUAUAAGUGAAAAUGAACACACACACACACACAGAUAUAUAUAGUAUAUAUAUAUAUAUAUAUAUAUAUAUAUAUAUAUAUAUGAGAAUACCUCUUUUCCCCAUUGUGUGUUCUCCUCAAAUGUACAACUCGCAAGUCUCUUUGAACUUUGUUCUAAUUCAUGAAUGCCAAAGUACUCUCUUUUGUUACCAUCCCAUUUCAUCUCACUCUUAUUCACCUUGCUGAAUUUCUUCCCAGAAAGAGUGUCUCUUCUGUGAAAACAUCCAGUUCCAAUAUAUAACAUCCCCCAAUAAGCAUCCAGACCAUGAAGUUCCACCUUCAUGUAAAUGCCAAAACACAUAUAAUCGCAAAAUUUUGAUUCUAAUAUUUCCAUCAGCCUAUAAUAACAUUGUCUACUCUGUGGUACUCACCUCGGUAAUUACUCGCAAUGAAGCGUAUAAUUCAUUCUUAGUAAGGUUAUCGAAAUUCUGGGGGAACUGUACGUAAGCAAUCUCAUGGCCUUGUUCUUCAUCCAACAAGAAGCAGAGUGCAUCCCUUAUGGCCUUGGAGUUGUUUGAAUACAUGUCACAGUCUACAUUCAGAAUCAACUUUCCAUUGCUAAUAUUUGACGAUACCCUAAUCUGCAAAUUGCGAAGGAUCGCAUCUGUACGUUAUCUAAACCCUAUAGGCACACAGUGAAACUCACACAUAUCUUGUAAAUGUAAUAUGUUGUUUACCAGAGCAUUCAUAGCACCAGCUUUGAAGUUAUGGUGAAUCUGGGGUCUCUUCUCCCGAGCCAAAUACACCAAAGUUGGCAACACACACCCUUCAACAUCUCUUGCAUUUGGGUCUCUCCCGUCAAUUACUAUCUGGGAGAAAAGUUCAUCGACUAAUUUAAACAUCUGGUACUAAUUAAACACCCAGUCAUAUAUAUGAUCACUUAACAUUAAAGAACUCAAAUGGAAAUGUCAUACUUGAAGAAUGGUGUCAUGGUCACGUUUUGAUGAAUAUGAAUCCCACUGAGAAAAGCCUUUAUGUUUUGAUCUUACUUCUUCCGGAAUCCGGCCUAGCUUCACUGCAUUUUCAACUUUUGUUGCCAUGUCCUCGUAUAGUUUCUGCAUCAAUAUUAUUUGGUGACAUGAGAGCUUAAGUAUGUUGUAAGCAUUGUAAGACCAAAAGAAGAAGAAGAACAAAAGUAGUUACAAAUGCAACACAAAAUAAAACAAGAUAUAAUGGAGUAAGAAAUGUUAAUUUCGUGUUCAUUUGGUUGUUACGAAUCCAAUUUUGCCAUGAUGUACACCCAAAAUUUUCCCACCGGCCGGUAAUUUAUAACAGAGGCUUACUGUUUCCAUUUCACUCCGAUCACUAACAGACCCUAUUGGUCAGUCCCUAAUGGCGAAUGGGGAAGAUUGUAGUACCUUUUAAAGGUAGGUCUUUAGGUGGAUAUGCUGGUGGGUUAAAGUUUGGAUCAAGGUGUAUAGUCUAGGCUAGCCAGACGUUUUUGUUACGAGUCAUUGUUCAAUGUGUAGUCGGCGACCGUGCGCACUAAAAAUUGUAACAGGUGAUCUUCAAAUCUCUUGUUUUGACUGAAUGAGGUCGUAUACGAUAUCUUCGACCAAUGGAGUUCAUCCACUCUCAUAAGAAAAAAAAAAAAAAAAAAAAAACAAAAGAUGACAGGCUUGACAACUUCGAGGAUAAUUACUAAGCAACUUCCGGCUACUAAACGACUAGCAUGCAAUAGAUCUAACAUUAAGACAUGUCUAGUGAACAAAAAAUCCAUUCUUACCUACGAUCGAAUAUAUAAAAUUAACAGAAGAGGUUAAGACAUGCCUCACUUGAUCGAUGACCAUAUAUUUCUUUCAAAAUUUCUUAAUCAAUGGUGAACAAAUUAAGAAAAUAUCAACAUCAAGACAUCGCUACUCUUAUGUCCAAGUCUCCAAGACACUUUAAUUGACUCCAUCCAUCAUCAUAUGGAUCCAGAUGAUUCUACUUGGAGCAGUUUACUUGUCGUCUAAAUUGGACAACCUAUGCCAUUUAUGCUCUCCACAAAAAAUCUCUGCUGCGCGCAGGGACCUAAUGGAAAUGUGUAUGUCAUCGCUGACCUAAUUAUCACUUUAAUCUUAACCAUGCAUAAUUGCUGAUUAGAGUUGUUGUUUCUUCGACGUGUAAAUAUACGAUAUCAUAUAGAGGGUCAAAAUCUAUCUACACGACGGUCUCAUUAUAUAAUUCUAGAACUGAGAUGACAUUGUGUACAUACAUGACGUGCAUACAAGAAUUUCCAAUUAAGCAUUAACCAAACAGACUUCUUUUAUUUCUUUACACUUUGAUUAUGGAAGACUUUAUGAUAUGGAUAAAAUCGUAAAAUAAUAAUUACCUUAAUGAGCGCCAAAUCAGCAGCCUUUUUCUGAUUCUGGCUUUCAUCAUCAACUGCAUCAGAAUCUAUCGAGACAAAAUAAGCAAAUGGUGAUCUCGGCUCCACACUGUACUUCUUGCAAUAGGGUAUCCAGUACUUGGCAAACUCAGCAGCUUCCAGAAAAGCAUAGUACGUAAAUUCUGAGCCUCCAUCGUCAGAGAGAUACACGCUGAGCUUCUCCGGCGGAUAGUCAUAAGACAUGACCGAUAGAACAGUGUUCAUCACCAUCAUCGGCGGCUCUAUGAUCGGAUCCGCGGUGCACACGAAUAUGUCCACCCCCGGCAACUCAUUCUCAUAUCUGUUAAGUAACACACGCGAAGUUAAACGAUACGAAGAUCAUCAUUACGAAAGAAGUUAGGUUAGAGCUAGAUUAAGCUAACAGUAUAUAUAACAUGUUAUGUUGUUAAACUAUAGAUACAGAUCAUUCAUAUAUAACAGUGAAUACAGAUACCUUUCAGAGAGUCUGUCCUUGAAGGUAUGCCGGAAGGUGCGGCUCCACCGAAGAGCUUGAGUGAUGACCCAGUAAAAACUGAACCAUAACUCAGCGGCGAACAACAACAUCCAACCAAAUCUUCCAUUUUCUCCAGCUCUUGGUAUAUGAGUCACUCUAUAAGCCCAAAUCAAACAUAUACCAACAGAUACAGACACUGCAGAAAACCUAUAGAAGACUGUUCCCUUUGCCUUCGUUGUCUCAAACAGUGGUAAAUGUCUUUCCUCUCCCAUUUUUGAGCCAACUCUGAUUGCUCAAGCUUUCUUUCUCUAGUGGAGAUGAUUUAAUAUAUAGGGAAGGACCCCGGACCAGGUCUUGCUUUCUAUUAUAAAAACCAAUUAACUUUGAAGCUAAUGCAUGCGUCCCGCGAACGCAACUUUGAUGUAAUGCUACCUUUCACAUCUCUGAUGUGUAUUACAAAACAAACAAGUUACAUGCAUAACUAGCUACUAUGAAAGUAUUGCAGCCAUAUGCACUUGGGUAGUAGUAAGAGUUUGGUGGUCUUUGACCUAUUGCUGAAUAAAAGAUUUCUUUUUUGGUCAGAAAAUAAAAGAUCAUUUACAAGCAGAUGAAACUGUCAUUCCAAUACAAGUUAGCUGAAACUGAAUAUGAUCUUAUCUUACAUUGUGCAUAACUAGUUAAGAAUCGUUCAAUGACAAGUUCGGCCUGAUAUUUUACUUUGUAGUCUGAAUUAUUCCCUCAUCUUUGUCAUAUAUAUUUGAAACAUAAACAAGCAAAUCCAGCAAAUGUCAUCGACUUCAAUGCUACAGAGCUCGGCAGCUUUCCCUUGUCCUUCCUUAGGUAUGGGGCUUCGUACAAGGGUAGGUUAAUGACAAUCAAAACCACACAUAGGAGAAUCUGCAAGCACAUUGUCUCAUAAACUUCUCCAAUACCCUUUUUUCCAGUGAUUGCUACCUUCAAAAACCAAGCAAAGCAGUACAGAUUGAGCAAUGCAAGCGUUGCCAGCACGGUGAACAUUGGAGACGAGCUCCCGAAUUCCAUGAUCUCUUUCUCGUAUCGUUCGGACACGUCUUCAUCGGCAACCUUGGCUGUUAUUACAAAUGCUGAACUGCUGUAUCCGAGGUAGUGUACAAUGGUGUCAAUGAAGGCAAAUAGGUAAGAGGUUGUUCUCUGGUAAAGCCAUAUACGUUGGUCGUUCCACCAACCUAAGCUCGUGCCUCCACACCACCGAUACUCCACAAAGCUCCCAAUGUUCUUAGCAAUUAUAACAUAUGCAAAUGGUAUAAUCCAUCGGCUUGAAAUCUAAUCCGACAAGAAAAAAACCAAUUUUAAGAAAAGCCGUACGUGAAAUAUAUUGCAUGCAUAAGAAGUAAUUAGAAACAUGUAAUUCGUGGGAUGAACUAUACCUGGGGAAAUAAGGAUUUGCCUCUAAGGAGGUAAAGUGAAGGAAGAGUGGAGUAAAUUAGUGUUGCCCAGCAGUUAGCAGCCCAUAAGUUGAAGCGAAGGUAUCCCAGUUGAUGGCCUAAACUAAGCUUUCCAUGGCCAUACCAUAGAACACAGUACUUAGAUAGCGUAAUCUGAAGGUUGCCUUCUGCCCAUCUCUUAUACAUCACAAGUGCCUGAAGCAAUGUGGUUGGAGCUAAUCCUAAGAAAGCUUUCCUUGUUGGAUUGUAAUACACUGAUUUCCAUCCUCGGCAUUGGAUUGAUAGUCCUGUUAUCACAUCUUCAACCGGACACCCAUAUUUCACACCCAUCUACAAAUUAUAAAGAUUUAAUUUGUAUAAAUGAUGUAUAAGUAAAUAUGAACAUAAUAUGUAAGUGUAAUUGAUAGAGAGAAUAUACCUCUUUUCCCCAUUGUGUGUUUUCUUCAAAUGUACAACUCGCAAGACUUUUUGAACUUUGUUCUAAUAUAUGAAUGCCAAUUUCUUCUCUUUUGUUUUUCUCCCAUUUCAUCUCACUCUUAUUUUCCUUGCUGAAUUUCUUCCCACAAAGAGUUUCUCUUCUGUGAAAGCAUCCAGUUCCAAUAUAUAACAUCCCCCAGUAAGUAUCCAGACCAUGACAUUCCACCUUCAUGUAUAUGCCAAAACAAUAACUGAAGUUCAAAUAAUAAGAUAUAAAUUGAAGAAUAAUGCUAAGUGAACCAUAUUAAUUUUGAUUAUAAUAUUUCAAUCUGCAGCAUAUAAUAUGUCCACGAACAUAAUCAACUCACCCUGUUAAUUACUCGCAAUGAAGCGUAUAAUUCAUUCUUAGUAAGGUUAUCGAAAUUCUGCGGAAACUGUACGUAAGCAAUCUCAUGGCCUUGUUCUUCAUCCAUGAAGAAGCAGAGUGCAUCCCUUAUGGCCUUGGAGUUGUUUGCAUACAUGUCACAGUCUACAUUAAGAAGUAACUUCCCAUUGCUAAUAUUUGACGAUACCCUAAUCUGUGAAUGCAAAGGAUCGCAUCUGUUAUCUAAACCCUACAGGUACACACACACACACAUAUAUAUAUCCUGUAAAUUUAGUAUGUUGUUUACCAGAGCAUUCAUAGCACCAGCUUUGAAGUUAUGGUGAAUCUGAGGUCUUUUCUCCCGAGCCAAAUACACCAAAGUUGGCAACGCACACCCUUCAACAUCUCUUGCAUUUGGGUCUCUCCCCUCAAUUACUAUCUGGGAGAAAAGUUCAUCCACUAAUAUUAACAUCUGGUACUAAUUAAACACCCAGUCAUAUAUAUGAUCAGUUAACAUUAAAGAAUUCAAAUGGAAUGUCAUACUUGAAGAAUUGUGUCAUGGUCACGUUUUGAAGAGUACGAGUCCCACUGAGAAAAACGUUUAUGUUUUGAUCUUACUUCUUCCGGAAUCCGGCCUAGCUUCACUGCAUUUUCAACUUUUGUUGCCAUGUCCUCGUAUAGUUUCUGCAUCAAUAUUAUUUGGAGACAUGAGAGCUUAAGUAUGUAUUAAGCAUUAAUGUAAAACCAAAAGAAGAAGAAAAAGAAGUAGUUACAAAUGCAACACAAAAUAAAACAAGAUAUAACGGAGUAAGAAAUGUUUCUUGUUGUUUUGGUUGUUGCACGUACUGCUUAAUCCAAUUUUGCCAUGAUGUACACAGUACACCCAAAAUUUUCCCACCGGUAAUUUAUAACUGAGGCUUACUGUUUCCAUUUCACACCGAUCAUUAACAGUCCCUAUUCUUACCUACGAAUGAGGUCGAGACAUGCCUCGCUUGAUCGAUGACCAUAUAUUUCUUUCAAAAUUUCUUAAUCAAUGGUGAACAAAAAGAAGAAAUCAACCGGGACCUGACAAUACAUCGCUACGCUGAUGUCCAAGUCUCCAAGACACUUUAAUUGACUCCAUCCAUCAUCAUAUGGAUCCUGAUGAUUCUACUUGGAGCAUUCUACUUGUCGUCUAAAUUGGACAACCUAUGCCAUUUAUGCUCUCCACAAAAAAUCUCUGCUGCAGGGACCUAAAGGAAAUGUGUAUGCCUGACCCAAUAUUAAUUAUCGCUUUAAUCUUAACCAUGCAUAAUUAAUUAUCAGAGUCUUUGUCUCUUCGACGUGUAAAUAUACGAUACCAUAUGGAUAUAAUCUAUGACUUUACUACAUAUACAUGAUGGUCUCGUUAUAUAAUUCUAGGACUGAGAUGACAUCAUAUACAUGCACGGCAUACAUACAAGAAUUUCCAAUUAUUAAUCAUUAACCAAACACUUUUGCAUGACUUUACUUAUUUCUUCACAGUUUGAUUAUGGAAGACUUUAUGAUAUGGAUGAAAUCAUAAAAUAAUAAUUACCUUAAUGAGCACCAAAUCAGCAGCUUGUUUCUGAUUCUGGCUUUCACCAUCAACUGCAUCAGAAUCUAUCGAGACAAAAUAAGCAAAUGGUGAUCUCGGCUCCACACUGUACUUCUUGCAAUAGGGUAUCCAGUGCUUGGCAAACUCAGUAGCUUCCAGAAAAGCAUAGUACGUAAAUUCUGAGCCUCCAUCGUCAGAGAGAUACACGCUGAGCUUCUCCGGCGGAUAGUCAUAAGACAUGACCGAUAGAACAGUGUUCAUCACCAUCAUCGGCGGCUCUAUGAUCGGAUCCGCGGUGCACACGAAUAUGUCCACCCCCGGCAACUCAUUCUCAUAUCUGUUUAAGUAAUUUCACUUGAGUUAAAACUACAUGCGAAGUUCACAAUGAAGAACAUCAUCACGAAAGAAGUAAACUUAGAGCUAAAGCUAAUACGAAAACAAUAUAGCAUGUUAUGUUGUUAAACUAUCGAUAUAUAUAUAUAUAUAUAUAUAUAUAUCUUUCGGAGAGCCUGUCCUUGAAGGUAUGCCUGUAGGUGCGGCUCCAACGAAGCGCUUGAGUGAUGAACCAGUAAAAACUGAACCAUAACUCAGCGGCGAACAACAACAUCCAGCCAAAUCUUCCAUCUUCUCCAGCUUUUGGUAUGUGAGUCACUCUAUAAACCCAAAUCAAACAUAUACCAACAGAUACUGACAAUGCAGAAAACCUAUAGAAUACUUUUCCCUUUGCCUUCGUUGUCUCAAACAGUGGUGAAUGUCUUUCCUCUCCCAUUUUUGAGCUAACUAUGAUUGCUCAAUUGCUUUCUUUCUCUAGUUGGAACGAUUUAAUAUAGUGGGAAGGACCCUGGACCAUGGUGCAUGUUGCUUAAUUUCAUUUAUAGAUACCAAUUCCCCCAUCCCUUUGCAACUAAUGCAUGCGCCUCACGAACGUAGUAUUGAUCUCCGUUAGGUGGUGGUCCUUGACCUAUUGCUGAAGAAAACAGUGUUUAGAAGAAGAUGAAUAUCUGUCAUUCCAAUGAAACAUCAGGCUGUUUAGAUCGAAAGGAUUGGUGUCGACCACAUUAAUUCCCAAAUUUUGACAACCUUUCUUUGCUUUUGGAUAUUUUCUUUCGCAGGCUUGAGUAUAUUGUUUGAAUGACGAUUGAGUUUGGACUGUUUGGUGUAAGAGAUUAACUUAUACUUGGACGAGAUGCAUGCAAUGUUGAUUUUAUUCAAGAAUUGUUGUUUGUGAUGUGAGACUGGUGAGAGAGCACACACUUAUGCUAAAAACAUUAUUAGACAACGACGAUUCAUAACUGUUCUUCUGACUGAAAAGCAUAUGUCGUUUGAUGGACGGUGCCGUGUGAUUGAGAUAACUGUAUUUCAUUCAUGAAUAAAGGAUACAAAACUAGAGAGCAAGCUAGAUUAUAUUUUCCAAAUGUUCAUUACAUAAAUUUGAAACAUAAACAAGCAAAUCCAGCAAAUGCCAUGGACCUAAUUGCUACAGAGCUCGGCAGCUUCCCCUUGUCCUUCCUUAGGUAUAGCGCUUCGUAUAACGGUUGGUUAAUGACAAUCAAAACCACACAUAGAAGAAUCUGCAAGAACAUUGCCUCAUAAACUUCUGCAAUGCCCUUUGUUCCAGUGAUUGCUUCCUUCACAAACCAGGCAAAGCAGUAUAAAUUGAGCAAUGCAACGGUCGCUAGCACAACGAACAUUGGAGACGAGCUCCCGAAUUUGCCAGUAUAAAUCUGCAAGCACAUUGUCUCAUAAACUAAAAAUUUUUAGAGCUAAAAGUUUCCUCCUAAUGAUUUACAUACAAAUUAUUUAUAAUUCAUUAAAAAAAAUAAUUAUAUAACAUCCAUGAAUCUAAUGUUACUUUNNNNNNNNNNNNNNNNNNNNCUAUCACGAAUGUCGAGCGAUAAGCUGCCGCAAGGACGGCAUUUGAGUGGGGUCAGUGUGGUUUACGAUGUGGAUGUUAGGCGGCCCGGGGAGUUUCAGCCGCAGCUGGAAGUUAGGUCGACGAUUACGAACUAUGAUCCUCAGCUGGUGUUGGGCCGCCAAAUAGCGGUGAAUAAGUCGUAUAUAUGACUGUGGAUUGAAACAGGGGGAUAUUCGGGUUUUGAAUAACCACACCGGAUUGGAAUGUUUGCUUCGAGCUCAUACACAGGUAAAUUGAUUUUCCUUGUAGUUAUUUACUUUAUCUCGUCGAUGAUUGUUAUAUGUCGUUGGCCUAAUCGAUGUGUUGUUCUGUCAGAGGGUCACAGACAUGGCUUUCUUUGCCGAGGAUGUUCACCUUUUGGCUAGGUAGCUUUUUUGUCCAUGCUUAAUACUUUUCAUCGUCUGGUUUGGUUCUGCAUUAUCUGACAUAAUUUUCUGCAGUGUGAGUGUAGAAGGACGGCGUUUUGUGUGGAAAAUAUCUGAAGGUCUGGAUGAAGGAGGUACGCCACAAAUCAAAGGAAAGAUUGUUAUUGCCAUUCAAAUAGUUGAUGAGGGGGGAGCUGUUCAUCCAAGAGUUUGUUGGCACUGUUCUAAACAAGUAAAUGAUUCUGUUAAUGCUAUUUUCAAUAGAAGAAUUAUAACUUAAUGCUUUUGAUGUCUGUUGGUCUUGAAGUGGUUGAUUGAUUUAUCUUUUGUCUUAUAUACUCGCAGGAGGUUUUGUUUGUUGGGGUUGGGAAGCGUGUUCUACGAAUUGAUACUACUAAAGUUGCAAAGUAUGGAGUCCCUUCUGCUGAGGAUCCUAUCAAAUGUCCUGUUGAAAAACUCAUUGAUGGGGUUCAAUUUGUUGGUGAACAUGAUGGAGAGGUGACAGAUGUAUCAAUGUGCCAAGGGAUGACUACCACCCGGCUGGUUUCUGCUUCCAUGGAUGGAACUGUAAGCUUCUUCCCGUUUUGCUGACUUUGUUUGGUAAACUGCAAUCUUCACCAUUUGCCUUUUCUACAUAUUUCCUUUCGUCAAGUAGUGAAACUUAAGUGCGAUUUUCAUCAGAGUUGGGUGGGAACAUUUGGCCCCUGCUUGCCCUUUUACAUCUAAAUGGAUAGUUUUUUCUCCUUUUCUUUCGGUGAAAUAGGGAUAAUCUUAUGGCUACAAAAAAAUCUGUGUUGGCUAAUCGGCUUCUAUGCUUCAGGGAGUUUGCGAUGAAUUAGGAUAAAUUAUUUGGUCUAGUCCUUCAAAUCCCUUUUAAUGUGGUACAGCACAUGAAAUGGCUAUGGCAGAUAAACUUUUACUUUUCUCAAUUAUAAGGAAAAAGUGAAGAGAAAGUACUGUAAGAGAUUUUAAGAGUGGAAGCUGUUUAACUUUGCAGUGAGUUUGUCAAUUUCUCUAACCUUAGUACAUAGUAUGAUCGAUACUAUUUAGGAAUGGUUCACGCAGUUUCAAAUUAAUUCAUUGGGCCGUCUUCAUCAUGAACAAUACAAAAAUUAUUUCUGAACAGGUUUAAGUAUGUUAUAUUCUCACACAUGCCAUAUAUGCAUGUAUAAUUAUUUCCUAAAUUGUUGAUUGAUAAAAGUUUUCUGAGUCGUAUACUUGGUUGAUACAGAUAAAGAUCUGGGAAGAUCGCAAGUCACAACCACUUAUAGUACUGAGACCCUAUGAUGGCCUUCCUGUUUAUUCGUCUAUAUUUACGACAGCUCCCAACAAACCAGAUCACAUCAUACUUGAAACAGUGGUAAGUGAUCGUUGAUUUAUUUACAUAGUACCAAAAGGUGUUGCCUGUCCUAGUGUGCUGAAGUGUAAUUAUACAGGGUCCACUUAAUCGGGAAGUGAAGAUCUGGUCCUCAGCAACUGAAGUGCUUACCAGUGAUGAUGAGUCAUGGAAAUGUACCCAGACCUUAGAGCUCUGCUCAACCUCGAGUUGAGGAUGCGUUCUUUAAUCAAGUCAUAACAGUGUCACAAGCUGGCCUUCUUUUACUUGCAAAUGCUAAGAAGAAUGCCAUAUAUGCCGUGCACAUAGACUUUGGUGGUGAGCCAGCAGCUACACGCCUACACACAUGGAUUAUAUAGCAGAAUUUACUGUUACAAUGCCUAUUUUGAGCUUUACGGGGACAAGUAUAUCUCCUCAUGGUAAACAAAUCGUUCAGGUUUAUUGUGUCCAGACGCAAGCCAUUCAACAGUAUGCUUUGGACUUAUCGAAGUGCUUACCUCCCCCGUUGGAAAAUACAGAUACAGUUGACAGCAACACUGAGUUGGAAUUACAACGUCAAAUUGACGCCAUGCAGGAUGAGAUGAAUCAGGUGAGUGCUUAAGAAUUUGGAAUUUCAAUUAUCUUGCACAUGUGUAUGGCGCUCCAACUAUUUUCAGCUUAACUUAGUGAAGUAGGUCUAGUAUCUUCUCCAAAAUUAUGCUACUGCCGUUUAAGUCGAUCUUCAAGUUAUUUAUUAUUUGGUGAACUGGUAUAUCAAUAUGAUCUUUCUUGUCCCAUUUCACCAGCCUAUAUCAUGGAAAAGGUUCUCUGUUUGGACGUUUUAUGGAUGUGUUUUGUGUAAUCAAACCUUUUUUUCUUGUCCAUUAUCCUUUCUGUUAACUAUGGCUUUUCAUCAUAUGCGCAGCUGGAGAUUAUGCAAACAAAAUUGCAAACAGAAUUGCAAGAGUGGAAGAAGGCUAGAAAGGACAAUACUGAUGCUCUGCAGGCUCGGGUUAGAGAAGAGAUUUCAAAGAUUGAGAAAUUAUGGCGAGAACGUAUUCAACAAGGAACUGUAGAACGCACGGACUUUCCGGUCUUGUUAGAUAAAAUGGUGAAAAAAGAAAUAGCUGCUCUUGGAUCAGCUAUAGAAACAAAAAUUAUUUUGGCUAUAUCUGAUUGCUUUCAGGUAAGAAUUUAGAUGAUCUGGCCUUUUCUUUGAGGUAUUUGGCUUUAAUUAUCUAAUUGAUGCGUGUGCUGCAGAAAUUGGAGAAAUCAGUCAACUCAAAUCUUGAAGAUACUGUACGCAGUGUGCUGCAGAAAUUGGAGGAAUCAGUCAACUCAAAUAUUGAAGCUACUGUACGCAGCCAAAUCCAGUUGGAUUGUCAAACUCUGGGUAACCAAGCUCGGCAAGGUGAUGGUGCCAGCAUGUCUGAACCACUUGCUCAGCUUCAUUAUGUAGAGGAAGAUCAGGAACAUUCUGGAAAAGAUGUAUCUGGGUCGGCUACUGCCACAACCACGUCGCAACUACAAACACCAAAUGCAAUGUCAAGAAAACAGGAAUGGAAGAAUAUGCAAGCAUCAUGUCCAUCUUCCCCGUCACCAGGUGUGCUCAACUCAGUAGAGUCCUCCAAUGAAGCAGGUGGGAGUUCAAGUCCCCCCUCUGGAGAAGCUGCAGUCCCUCACAUUAUGUCCAUGCAGGCUAUAAUGAAUAAGGUGAGUGCAGUCAAAUUUGGGCAUUUAAUUAUCUUGCACUUGUCUACUCGCACGCGCCAAUUAUUUUCAGCUUAACUUAGUAAAGCAGGCUUAGUAUCUUCUCCAAAAUUAUGCUACUGCCAUUUAAGUCGGUCUUCAAGUCAUUUAUUGGUGAACUGGUAUAUUAAUUACUAUGUUCUUUUGUGUCCCAUUUCACCUGCUUAUAUCAUGCGAAGAGCAAAAGGUUCUAUGUUUGCAUGUGUUGUGGUUGUGUUUGUAAGUGUUUGUGUGUAACCAAACCUUGUUUUCUUGUCCAUUAUCCUUUCUGUUAACUAUGGCUUUUCAUCAUAUGUGCAGAUAUUGGAAAUACAAAGAGAAGAAUAUCUAUGGCAUAUUAAAGAGGCAGCUGUCAUUAAUGAGGAAAUGAAAAGAUUAGAAGAAGAAGAAGCUGAGCAUAAAAAGAAGAAGGAAGAAUCUAAGCAUGAAAAGAAGAAGAAAAUUGCACAAGACGACGAAGUAUCUAGUGUGCUCAAUCUUCCUAUCAUGUUCAAAUAUCCAACCAUCCAAUAACUCCCCCUGAGACUUUAAUGGAAGCUUCUCCCUCUGAAAGUACAAGUACAUGGGCAGCUAAUGGAACUGGUUGGUGGUAAACCUGAACUACUUGAGGGGGAUGCGAGAAUCCAAGAUGUGCUUGUUAACAGUGGUGUGGGUAAUCCUGAGGUAGAAGUCAAAGUUGUGGGGAAGCAGGAUCUACCCAAAUUGAUGAAUAUGGCUCCCAACGGGAACUCCAAAAUGCUGGUUCAAAAGUUCUACGUUGUUUAUUAUUAACAAUUAUCCAAAGUACUAAUUUAUUGAUGACAGGUUAAGAAUUUCUAGACCUUCAUGAUCAUUUUCUUAUUGCUUGUAAUGACUGGAUGUACUGAUCGGAGAGGAUUCAGUGCACAUACUUGCACUGCACCAACCAGAUCAACCAAACGAUGGUUAGUGACAAAAAAAAAAAUAACAAAUUGCAGUAAAACCCAGGAACUGCAGUAAAGAAAUCGAACUGGCUCUGCCCACCUCCCCGUCCCCAAAACCCAGUCUCUCCAUCCUCCGUCGUCCAAAGAGCCCGCCAAGGUCUGGAUGGUCAACUUCUUCUUCUUCUCCUCCGCCGUAGCCCUCAUCAUCAAGGCCGAGAGCGACCGCACGAAGAUUACGAACAUCAGGAAUGGAUAGGAAACCCAAACCCCAGAUCUACGAUUCUUGAGAAAUCAUUCAAAAUUGCAUCAGUUGCUUCCCAUUGCUUCCAUUGAAGCUCUAAAUCCACUAAUAGAUUCACAUCAGAACCCCAUGGCCGCCACAACUCAUCUUGACAAACGUCGGAUACAGAUUAGGCAUCUCGGGUGUAUCGUAGUAUUGUAUUUAGACCCGUAAAAAAUGGACCGGAUCUUGAUUCGGACCCGCUCCGGAUCCGUGGUUUUUAAAUGGGUUUAGAACGAAAAUUAAACCCGUUGGUCCGUUAAGGACUCGGAUCCGUUAACCCAUUUAUUAAACGGAUCGGAUACGGAUCAAGGUUGAUCCGAUCCGUUAAGGACCCGGAUCCGUUUUAAAAUAAUUAAAUAAUAUUUUUAUAAAUAUAAUAUUAUUGAUAAAUAUUAAACAAUAUAAUAAUUAUUUGAAUAACCUAAACGUCUAAAUUGCGUCUAAAGUAUGAUUAUUUGAUGAAAUUGAAGGUUACUGAUAUGUAUGUUAUUUUUAUGCUCUUUGCUAAAUACAUUGGAGUGUUCUAGAAUAUUCUGUAUCUUUCGAGAUAUUCUUUAUGUGUGUCUUGGCCAUAUGCCAAGAGGAUAUGUAGUUAGACUAGAUCUAUGUAUUUAUAUUCUUACCAUAUUGGUAUUGUGUAAUUCCUUAUAUAAAGGACUCCUAUCAAUGAAUAAGAUGAUGAUUCUCUAGCUAUCUCUCUGUCUCUACACUUUAUACUUCAUCACGUUAUCAUGCACUUUGUUCUAACCCUAGAACUAAUAGCCCACCAUUUUUUUUUCCAAACCCUAAAAACCAAAACCGGAGGUUCUCGGCCCUGCCGCUACCGCCGCCGCAGUCGCUUCCCGGCCGUCCACUCCGCUGCUUUCUUUUCAUCCGAUCAAGCAUCUAAGUGUUUACGGUAUGUUUAUUUUACAACCCUAAAACUCUUCCAAGUUUAAUAACCUCGAGGGAGAUAAAGUGCUUUCUCCCCUUCUUCUACUCCAUUCUAUGCUUGGGUCGAUGUAUUUGAAGGUACCAAAAAUCCCGGAAUUUUAUUCGCGGGUCAAGAGUGUGUUGGAUCACUCUUGUUUCCUUGUCCGGGUUGUGUAUGAUCAACCCUGACCUAUCACUGGAUUGUGUUUGAUCAAUCCGAGGCCUUUUCCGAAUUGUGUUUGAUCAAUUCGCGGCUUUUCCAGAUUGUGUAUGAUCAAUCCGAAUGACAAACCAUUAAAAGCAUUGUUUGUGACCUCUAUCGAGUCUCAUAACAGCUUGGUUUUGUAUGCAAGAGCAAUGUAACAUUCUGCUCCUUUGAGUUUUGACGUACUCGAUGCCUAAGGCGAAUCUUUGCUUGGUAUCUGUGGAACCUUUCAUUGGAAAGGAUUAAACCACAUGUUUUGACCCCCAGGCUAACAAGCCUAGAUGCCGAGAUUUCACAUCUCAUGCGCUUAAAGUCUUUGAUGCGCCACAUCGACAAAAGCCUUCAAUGGCAAUCUGUGCAAAAAGUAAUGACCACAAAGUACUGUGGAAUGCACUCAUGGAGCGUUUCUCGAAACGUUCAUAUAACUCUACUUGUUGAGUUAUUAGUCAAGUGGAUUGCUUACCACCUUAAUUGACUAUAUAUUGUCGAUGAUCUUUUGUGGCAUCAUGAUCCAUAAUCUUUAGCGGAUUCGAUCAUCAUCAAGUUCUCUAAGUCCUCCAAGUUGGUUUGGAAUUACCAACGAAACUUGAUUUUGAUCAUACAAAUGGGAAUUUUAUAUACGCUAAUGUGAUAAACUUAUUUGGGAUUAUCCCCUAAUGUGGGGACAAUAAUAUGGGUCAUGACAACGGCAGAAAACGUCGUGCCGAUGUCUAGAAAAGAGGGGGAGGUGUCGCCGGCUCUAAUAGCGACACUCCCGGUCUAGACACCAUUUUGUCAAAACUACUCACAUCAGCUCAUGACAAUGCAACCGUUGUGGAUCUUUGGAUCACUGGUUCAAGAUUGUCCAGCUUCUUCAAAUUGUGAAUGCAUACAAAAAGGUACAGAAAAUCAAUAUGAGGACAAGAACGUCAUCCUCAUGAUCGCGAAUUUUGAAGAUUCAGAUCCUGCUCUAGCUACCCCUGACUUUGACUUCAUCGGCUAGACAUUGAUUUUCGUUUCAAGCUAUAUGUACUAAGGCGUUGUAUCGACGUCCUUCGUCUAUUUUUGACCUCGAUGUACUCACAUCGGCAAGAUGUACAUUUUUACAUCGUCCUUAGAAGUAUGACAUAUUUACAAUCUACAUGGUUAGAUUGUGCCAUUUUGGUCUCUUCCAAGUGAAGAUGACGCACGGCCUUGCAUCCUCAAGAAGGAUCGCUAACGUGUUUCAGGUUAAGUCUUCUACCCUUUAGCGGAUUUUCCAUCAUCAAUUGUUCAACUAGGCUCAUCCAAGCUCAGUGUGAUGUCUUAGAAUUGUCCGAAAUUAAGGAGAUAGUGGUUUCAAGUGUGCCUCGCACUACCGACCCUCCACGGACAUGCUUGGUCAUACUGACUUGGAGUUACCGAAAGCUUUUGAUUUUGGAUCCCCCUACGCUAUUAAACCAAUUGCCGUCUUGCAAAAGCCGUUGAAGACUUAUCAAAACCGAAAAAUUAUCAUCAUGAUCGAAUCCUCUAGGUCCUUUGAGUUAGUUUAUGUUCAUGUCAGGGAGCUUUUACUAACUAGUCAUGGAGUUUACGACCUUAGAACGACUGAAAGGACUUGAUUUUGAUCAUACACCCGUCACUUUUGGCUAAGGCAAAAGCCUACACGCCACCUGCAAGCUUCACAGCUUCCCACAUGCCAAUUCUGCGAAAAACAGCAAUUUGUCCCUUCUGGACAGUCAACUUCGUUUGAGCUUUGUGAACAGCUCCGGACGAACCAGACAGUGAGCUUUAUAUCAUUGGAAAGCUCUACGAGUCUAGUUUUUAGAACUUUUCGCGGUUUGUCCAUAUCUAUUUUAAUGAAGAAGUUAUGGUUGUUUUAGUGCGCAAAGGUCAUUCUGCGCGAAAAUUUUUAUGCACUCUCGGGAUUGCAGCUUUUCGUAGCUUCUUUCAAUCCUUCUAAAGUACAAGUGGAACUAUUAACUAGCCUAUCUACUCCUUCUUGUAGAUAUGUCUCAUUGAGACAUUGAGUGCUUCGCAGAUAGUGGAACUAUCCAUAACAUUCUAAGGAACCGGCAACUAUCUUUGGAUUUUGUGCCUUUGUAAAUCUUCUGUGACUACAAUGAUUGAAUCAUACCGGUCAUUCAAGGACGCGGUUUAGCUUAAAUCUUGAUGCCUCAUGGCACCAUGAUCAAUGUCACAGAUACCCUCUACGCAUUGAGAGGCAAUCGAACCAUAUUGAGCUUUAAAAACAUUCCUGCUAAUAGUUUUCAUUUGAAAACACAUUGUGAGAAUGAACAAGAAUUCUUUUAUGUAUACCUUCUCAUGAAUGCGGACUAAAGCGCAUCUUAGAGAAAUUCAUGAGUCAAUCUAGUGGAUUGUAUGUCACUACGAUUCGAAUAUCGAAUCCCAUGUUGUCGCCAAACAUGAUAUUUGGGACACCAACUCAUAUAGGCUUUGGUUUGACCAAAUUGGUCAACCUGGAAGAGAUACAAUGGUCCAAAUUUUGAGAAAUUCUCAUGGACAUCCAUUCUUCCGCUCAAAACGAAGACAUUCGAGAUCUAGCAUGGGGGACAUUGACGUCACCCGAACACGACUCCAACUUCUUAGAGGUCGUCCGGUCAAUUCCUCAAGCAAUUGAGGUGCACCGGCCUUCCCUUGAUGUCGCAUUGGCCCCCUGCAAUGCUCAUUGCUUGUUUUGAAAGCCUAUUCUUUAGCUAAAUUAGGAGUGAGACCCUCCUACGCUAAAUAACACAAAAGUGAACAUUCUAUUCUUACAUCAAACUAUGUAGAUAGAUACAACCAACUUGCGGACACAUUUUUAUGCUUUAUGGUUUGGUUGAAAUGUUAACACACUGGUCACGUGUUUCAUUAUUAUCUACUGCUUAUGCUGCUUAUACUUCUACGGGCUCACUAUCCAUUCUUUAAAGAAGUUUAUCGGGAUGUAAAUUGAAGUGUCCUAUACCCCAUGUUCACACGCAAUACGGUCUCACCGAGGCUACGACCAAGCAAUUUUAGCUUGUCGCUCGAAUAUUAUUGAUGCGCACCAAUCUUUCUAUUGCGUCUUGGGGCUAUGCAAUAUUUGCAUGCAGCUUUACUAUUCAUCUACGACCCACCAUCAUUGAAUAUUGUUGUACUACAGCUCGUGACUGUGUACUAGGAUUGACACGAAAUUGCAAUCCUUGAGCUCGACAGGAUUGAAACGGAUCUCCAAUCCUUGAGCUUAGCUAGAUGUUUAUUCUAGGUGCCAAAUUGCACUGCCACUGCGCACAAUGAUGGGUCAUUUGAGAUGAAUAAAUAUUUAGGUUGGAUGUGAAUCUCCACCUAUAAUCCGCAUAUGUAGAAACCUUGCCAAGCAAUAUCUUUCACCGCUAUAUUGCGGAUGGUCACUUUGAUGAGACAAUAUUCCCGCCGUUAGGGGGAGAUAAGAACACAAGUGUUCAAGUGGAACGACGUGAAUUGUCGUGGUUUGUCCCCACUAAGUCUCAUCUUGAUCCCAAACGCUUAAAAUGUUAAAGUGACGAGAUCACAUGCUGCAAAUAUGUUUGCAAGGAUUGAUGUCCCAUCAAGAGGACAUGGCGUGACCAAAAUGUGUUGGUCUUGACGCCAUCACCAUGGAUGGUGAUAUAGUGACGCCUUAUAGUGGCAAAAUUGGUGUCACAAGGCCGUGUGGCUCCCCAAAAGGAGGGAGACCCUUAGGUUCGAUACUUUCUCGCACUAGGAAGAAAACAAGCUUGGCACAACCUGAUCCAUUGAUCAGUGAUACUCAAACCGUCUCAUGAAGUCUGAAUUGUGAUUAUCGUUAGGGGACGCCUCAAUGUCAAAUCCAAUCCAUAUAGAGAUCUCUACAAGUAUUACACUAGUGUACAUGAGGACGUGGGAUAAUGAGUCUACUAUCGAACCACCUUUCGUAGAUGGAUAUUAACUUAGUUGAUUGGCCUAACGGAAAGAUGCGAUCUAGCAUUAACAAAGGGAUAGGUCCUUGGGUAGGUGAUGCCGACACCGCAAGCUAAACCUUAUCAACUAUACAUUUGUUAGAUAGCGUAGGGAGAACAAGAGUUUAGACUCACCUUAUGGCGUAAGGUCUCUCACUAUCACGCACUGGGAUCGACUACGAUGAGAUAUGCUCUCGUAAUGGAUGUCAUUGAACUCCACUACUUUGUCAGUUUGGUAGUUUCCGAAUAACUGAACAUGCAGCCUAUGAAUGUGGUCAUAAUAACAUCUCUAUGGGAUCAGAGAUAUAUAUGAAGCUCUUAAACGGACUUCAUUCAUCCGAAUCAAGUGGCUCCAAACCACAUGAGCAUGCGUUUGCUAAAUGUAUUGAAACGCACAUGGACUCUACUUGAUUUGGAAGGGAUAUGGUGAAUUAUGCCUUUGCGUGUUCAUUCCGGAUUUACAUGGAUUCUUGAUGGAUCAAGAGAUGCCAAUAUGUAUCAACAUCCGAAGAAAAAGAUCUUGGGAAGACACGGUCUCGAUAAGGGACUCGAUGACUGUAUUGAUAAUGAUUUUCCAUCAAUCGGCUUAGGCGCUCUAUAACUAGUGAGGCCUACAUAUACUCCCAUGAUUAGUUAAGGUCUUUGCUCUAAAGAGAGAUCCGUUGUUUUGUCUAAAGCAAGAUGACAAAUAUGUGUUAAGAGAUGGAGUUCCCAUGUAAGUACAAUAAUACGCAUCAAUGUACUCAACACAAUACAAAAGACUUGACAUCUCAUUUGCUACGAAAAGUUGUAAAGCUAAGUGUAGUUAUGCGCCCACGCAAUGUUAAUGUAAUGGCAGUAACUUCUUUUUUAAUACUUAAUGGUAUGAAAGGUUGAGGCUUAUUCUAUCCCUACAUAAGAAAGACACAUCAAUAGCGAAAUCAGAAUCUGCCAAGUUUCGUAGGUCAAGCUCCACGAGACCUACAGGAAACCUCACUCACUGGAAAAUGGUGAACUUGGUACUAUUGGAAAGAUCUAUGUGUCUACUUUCCAGGACAACAACCAUUUGAUCAUACCUAUCAUAUUGAGUGAGUUAUGGCCGUUUUCGUAUAGUAGGAUGAAUCUGUCCGAGAAUCUAAUUUUUGCAAAACAGUCAACUUCGACGGGACUUUGUGAAUAGAUCCUGACGAACCAGAACGUAUGUAAUAUACGGUUGGAAAGCUAAAUAAGUCUAGUUUCCAAAACCGUUUACGGUUCGUUCAUAUGUAUUUC
rnacentral:lncRNA from 1 species